rnacentral:lncRNA from 1 species
UCUUUUUUUUGUUGGUUUUCGCCUUUUUAGCCUGUUCUCUGUGUUUGUUUGCUUUGGUCGUUUUCCCUUGUAUUGGUCGAGAUCUUUUUUGGGCAGUUUGUUUGGAUGUUUUUGUCUUUUCUUGUUUUGCUCUUUGUAUAAUUCUCUUGUACUUUGAGCAUGAGUCUCAUUUUCCUUUAUUAAUAAAGAAGCUUGUAUCCGUUUAAAAAAAAAAAGAGUUCUUCUGUGAAAGCCUAGUUAGCGGAGCAACAAUUUCUCCAUAUCCUUUACGAAUCUCCUAUAGUACCCAGUGAGGCUUAAGAAUCCUCUCAGCCCUGUUACAUCCUUCGGUUGAGCCCAAUUAAUCAUACUUUUAAUUUUCUCCUCAUCAGCUUCUGCUCCCGUUUUGGAAAUUUGAUGCCCUAGGUACUGAAUCUUAGAGUAUGCUAUCAUACAUUUCCUUUUGUUGGCAAAUAGUUGAUUGUCUCUCAAAACAGGAAAUACAAUUCCCAAGUGUUUGUCGUGUUCAGUGAUAUCAGCACUAUAAACUAAUAUAUUGUCAAAAAAACUAACAAACAACGCCUUAAGAAAGGUUUAAAUACCUGGUUCAUGAGGGAUUGGAAGGUAGCAGGGGCAUUAAUGAGACCGAAAGGCAUUACAAGAAAUUCGUAAUGGCCCUCGUGCGUUUUGAAUGCUGUCUCCUCAAUGUCCUCUUUCCUCAUUCUGAUUUGGUGAUAUCCAGAUUUCAGGUCCAGCUUCAAAAAAAUCAUAGCUCCAUGUAGUUCAUCUAACAAUUCUUCUAUAAUUGCCAUGAGAAAUUUAUCAGAAGUGGUCACUUGGUUCAGCUUCCUGUAGUCUACGCAAAACCUCCACCCUUCAUCUUUUUCCUUAACUAGCAAUGUUGGGCUUAAGUAGGGACUAUGACUAGGUCUAAUUACCCCUGUUUGAAGCAUCUCUAGCACCAGCUUCUCAAUCUCUUCUUUCUGAACAUGACCAUACUUAUAGGGCCGCACAUUCAUCGGUCUUUGUUUAGGCAUGCAGGAUGCCAUGAUCAAUGGCCCUCUUGGGUGGUAGUCCUUUUGGUGCCUUAAAGAUAUCCCCAUAUUGUCUCAAUAGUGACUUGAUCAUGGGCAGGUCUUCCUCAUCUCCCUUCAUCCCUACUUUCUCCUCAAACUCAUCUUCCCCUUCAAUUUCAUAGUGUUGAAACCCAAGAAGGAACCCUUAAUCCUCUUCCCCCCCAUGUCUUUUCUAACGUCUUUAAGGAACACUCAACUUUAAUGAGAGCAGGAUCUCCUUUUAGAAUUAUCUGUUUUUCCCCCACCCAAAAGGUCAUGGUUAAUGAGGGCCAAUGAGCUUUCAUAGUUCCUAUAGUAUCCAACCACUUCAUUCCUAACACAACAUUCACGCUUCCCAACUCCACAGCCAAGAAAUCUGCUCCAAUAAUCAUCUCAUUCAGCUUUAGUUCAACCCUCUUACACAACCCAUUUCCUUUACAACGCGUGCCAUUGCCAAUAGUGAACCCUGUUGCUUUUAUGGAAUAAAUCUUUAUAUCAUUGAUCAUUUAGCAAAAGUACAAGACUAAAUAUACUAAAUGAGGAAUAAACUUAAGGAAAGAAUCGACGGAAUAAUAUCUCCUAAAAAUACUCUAAAUACUUCAAUACCCUCCCUCAAACUCAAGGUUCAAAUCACGAAAUUGAGUUUGCUAAGAAAAGAAACUGAUGUAAACUAUAGCUAGUUAGUUAGUAAAAAUCCCUAACUAAUUAGAAAUACAACUGUAACUAACUUCCUAAAACAGUCUUGUAACUAACUAAAUAAAACAACCUUGUAACUAACCUUGAGAUAUCAAUAUAUAACAGUCUCCUAGCCUGAAAUAUGGCAGAGAAUUCUUUUGAGAAAUCAAUCCAACUUUGAAUUACAUCAAAUUGGUAUCAGAGCAGCCCCGAUUCUUGGACGGAAUGGCUGGCCGAAGAGUUAACAACCCUGCCACGGGGGAAAACCGUGUGCAAGAAGCAGCGGAGGAAAUCACCGCCCUCUCUCCAAAGACAUCAACAGUACGCUUGCUGGCUGUUGAGGAAUCUUUGGGAGAUCUCCACAACAAAUUUGAUAGAUUGAUGGAAAGUGUCGAACUGUUAAGCCGAAGAGAAGAAUUCCCACAACCACCACCAUGGAAUGAAAUUAACUUCCAAAACGACCAACGUUUUGGUGAAGCAAGAGGCCGGCGAGCAAGGGGAUACUUUAGAAACAUGAACAAUCCACGAGGACUUCAAAGAAGGAGACCCGGUUACGCUAUACAGCAACAGCUUGAUGAAAACUUUCAAGAAGAUCAAGAAGCUUGGCAAGAAACCCAAGAAGAUGAUUCUUCAAGCGGGGAUGAACAAGGAAACAUGUGGAACCUCAACGAUGAUGUACGAGCAGGAAGAAAUAACCGAAGAAUUGAGGUCAGAAGAGGAGGAUACCAAGAUUAUAAGAUGAAGAUUGACCUUCCCAUGUAUGAUGGCAAACGAAAUAUAGAAGCAUUCUUGGACUGGAUAAAGAGUACUGAAAACUUCUUCAACUACAUGGAUACGCCUGAUCGCAAGAAAGUCCACCUAGUAGCCUUAAAAUUAAGGACUGGUGCAUCAACUUGGUGGGACCAGUUAGAAAUUAAUAGACAAAGAUGUGGAAAACAACCGGUUCGCUCGUGGGAAAAGAUGAAAAAGUUGCUGAAAGCAAGAUUCUUACCCCCAAACUACGAACAAACUUUAUACAAUCAGUACCAAAACUGCCGCCAAGGUGUCCGGUCAGUAGCUGAGUACAUUGAAGAAUUCCACCGCCUGAGUGCAAGAACAAACCUAAGCGAAAAUGAACAACAUCAGGUUGCAAGAUUUGUGGGAGGCCUCCGAUUCGACAUCAAGGAAAAGGUCAGACUACAACCAUUCCGUUUCCUGUCUGAAGCAAUAUCAUUUGCAGAAACAGUGGAGGAGAUGAUUGCAAUUCGAUCCAAGAACCUAAAUAGAAGAUCAGCAUGGGAAACAACUUCGACAAAAAGCAAAACAAACGACCAACCGUCAACCUCAACAAAAGCAAAAGGGAAAGAAAUUGAUAAUCAAGAAGUAGUCGUUGAAAGAAAGAAAGAACAAACGUUCAAACCUAGUAGUUAGAACAGCUACUCCCGCCCGUCAUUAGGAAAAUGCUUCCGAUGUGGCCAAACUGGCCACCUGUCCAACAACUGUCCGCAAAGAAAAACCAUUGCAAUAGCCGAAGAAGGAGGACAGACGAGUGAAGACAGUAUAGAAGCAGAAGAAGAAACUGAACUGAUUGAAGCAGAUGAUGGGGAAAGGGUCUCUUGUGUUAUCUAACGGUUACUAAUUACGCCCAAGGAAGAAAAGAACCUGCAACGCCACUGUCUUUUCAAGACAAGAUGCACCAUAAGUGGAAGAGUAUGUGAUGUAAUCAUAGACAACGGCAGCAGUGAAAACUUCGUAGCAAAGAAAUUAGUAACAGUCUUGAAUCUAAAGGCUGAAGCACAUCCAAACCCUUACAAGAUAGGUUGGGUAAGAAAAGGAGGAGAAGCCACGGUCAGCGAAAUCUGUACAGUCCCUCUCUCCAUUGGAAACGCCUACAAAGACCAAAUUGUUUGUGAUGUCAUUGAGAUGGAUGUAUGUCAUCUCCUACUAGGAAGACCUUGGCAGUAUGAUACUCAAUCAUUACACAAAGGGAGAGAAAAUACAUAUGAGUUUCAAUGGAUGGGAAGAAAGGUAGUUUUACUCCCUAUAACAAAAAAGAUUAACGAAGGAGUAAGAGGUGAGAAACAGUUAUUCAUCACUGUUAGUGGGAAAAAUAUGCUUAAAGAAAGGGAACAAGACAUCCUAGGACUGGUUGUUAUUGAAAAAACCAAAGAAAAACAGGUUGAAGACAUAGAACCCAAAUUACAGCAGCUCCUUCAUGAGUUCCCACAUAUAAAGGAAGAACCGAAGGGACUCCCACCCCUUCGAAACAUACAGCACCACAUAGACUUGAUUCCGGGAGCAUCACUACCAAAUUUGGCUCACUACAGGAUGAGCCCCCAAGAGUACAAAAUACUUCAUGAUCAUAUUGAGGAAUUACUAAAGAAAGGCACAUCAAACCGAGCCUCAGCCCAUGUGCAGUACCAGCACUUCUCACGCCAAAGAAAGAUGGAAGCUGGAGAAUGUGCGUUGACAGCAGAGCCAUCAACCGUAUCACGGUAAAGUAUAGAUUUCCCAUUCCAAGGAUUAGUGACCUGCUAGAUCAACUCGGUAAAGCCAGUAUUUUUUCGAAGAUUGACUUAAAAAGUGGCUAUCAUCAAAUACGGGUAAGACCUGGCGACGAAUGGAAGACAACCUUCAAGACAAACGAAGGAUUAUUUGAAUGGAUGGUCAUGCCAUUCGGCCUUUCUAAUGCACCUAGCACCUUCAUGAGAUUGAUGAACCAGGUACUUCACCCAUUUCUCAACAAAUUCAUAGUAGUUUACUUCGAUGACAUACUUGUUUACAGCACAAACAAUGAUGAGCAUUUACUACACCUAAGGAAGCUGUUCCAAGUCUUAACAGAGGCAGAACUCUACAUAAAUAUUAAGAAAAGCAUGUUUAUGAAAAAAGAAAUUGCAUUCCUCGGCUUUAUAAUCAAACAAGGAAGCAUAAGCAUGGAACCAAAGAAAAUCGAAGCCAUCCAUACAUGGCCGACUCCUGCCUCCAUUAAAGAAAUACAAGCCUUCCUCGGCCUGGCUUCGUUUUACAGGAAAUUCAUCAGAAACUUCAGCUCUUUAGCCGCACCCCUAACUGACUGUCUAAAGAAAGGAAACUUCAAAUGGACCCCAUUACAACAAGAAAGCUUUGAAGAUAUCAAAAAGAAGCUAACAUCCAGCCCUAUCCUUAAAUUACCAGACUUCUCUUCACCUUUUGAAGUAGCAGUUGAUGCAUGCUGCACAGGGAUUGGAGCUGUCCUAGUUCAACAAGGACAUCCUAUCGAAUACUUCAGUGAAAAACUCAGCACCUCAAGACAGACCUGGAGCACAUACGAACAAGAGCUGUAUGCCCUUGUCCGAGCACUAAAACAAUGGGAACACUACCUGCUUUCUAAAGAAUUUGUACUCCUAACUGACCAUUUCUCGCUAAAAUACCUUCAAGCUCAAAAGAAUAUCAGUAGGAUGCACGCACGCUGGAUAUCCUUCCUUCAAAGGUUUGACUUCGUGAUCAAACACCAAUCAGGCAAAGAGAACAAGGUGGCCGAUGCUCUAAGCAGAAAAGGCUCCCUACUCACACUACUGUCUUCGGAAAUCAUAGCAUUCAAACAUUUACCCGACUUAUACGAAGAAGAUAUUGACUUAAAGGAUAUCUGGUACAAAUGCUCCAACUUCUUAGACGCUGAUGACUACCACAUUGUUGAGGGAUAUCUAUUUAAAGGAGAACAGUUAUGCAUCCCGCACACCUCACUACGUGAAGCCUUAAUAAAAGAAGCACAUUCUGGAGGGCUAGCUGGACAUUUCGGACAGAAUAAGACAUUGGAGAUCACUUCCAAACGAUACUAUUGGCCGCAAAUAAGAAAAGACUCCAAUAAUUUCGUAAAGAGAUGCCCCAUCUGCCAAAGAACCAAAGGCUCCAGCACGAAUGCAGGAUUAUACUCGCCACUACCCAUCCCGACCUCAAUAUGGGAAGAUUUAUCAAUUGACUUUGUGGUUGGAUUACCAAAAACACAAAGACAAUUUGACUCAAUAAUGGUCAUAGUAGCAGAUUCAGCAAAAUGACACAUUUCGUAGCAUGCAAAAAGACAAAUGAUGCAAUCUACAUAGCCAACCUCUUCUUUAGAGAAGUAGUACGACUUCAUGGAGUACCUAAAAGCAUAGUAUCAGACAGAGAUGUCAAGUUCCUGAGUCACUUUUGGCGAACACUGUGGAAGAAGUUUGACACAACACUGAAAUUCAGCACCACAGCCCACCCACAGACAGAUGGACAAACUGAAGUAACAAACAGGACCCUCGGUAAUCUGCUACGCUGCCUUAGCGGGUCAAAACCAAAACAAUGGGAUCUAGCAUUGGCUCAAGCUGAAUUCGCCUUCAAUAAUAUGAAGAACAGAUCAACAGGAAAGUCCCCCUUCGAAGUAGUUUAUACCAAACUACCACGAUUAACCUUUGAUCUCACUACACUCCCUACAACCCUGGAUCUCAACAACGAAGCAGAAUGCAUGGCAGAAAACAUCAAAAAACUACACAAGGAAGUCCAUGAUCAUCUUAUACAGACAACAGACUCCUACAAAAAGGCAGCAGAUAAAAAAAGAAGACAAGCCCACUUCAACAAAGGAGAUCUAGUAAUGGUACACCUAAAAAAGAGCAGAUUUCCUACUGGCACCUACAACAAGCUGAAAGACAGACAAAUUGGACCAUUCCAUAUAUUAGAGAAAUACGGAGAUAAUGCCUUCAAGAUCGAUCUACCACAAGACAUACACAUACACCCAGUCUUCAAUGUUGCUGACCUAAAGCCAUACCAUGCACCAGAUCGCUUCAGGCUUGCUGACUGAUGGACCCUGGGACGAGUCCAUCCUUAGGGGGGUGGAAUGAUGUAAACUAUAGCUAGUUAGUUAGUAAAAAUCCCUAACUAAUUAGAAAUACAGCUGUAACUAACUUCCUAAAACAGUCUUGUAACUAACUAAAUAAAACAACCUUGUAACUAACCUUGAGAUAUCAAUAUAUAACAGUCUCCUAGCCUGAAAUAUGGCAGAGAAUUCUUUUGAGAAAUCAAUCCAACUUUGAAUUACAUCAGAAACAAAUCAGUAGAUCAGAAGCCCACAGAGAACAAACACAAAGAACUUCUAGGCUAAAAAAAAUCCACGAAGAACAAAACAAAGAACUUCUGGGAUAGAAACAUAGAUCCUCUAUAGAGAUCUAUAAAAGAACCUACAAAGAACAAAACAAGAACUCUUGGGAUUGAUAGGGAGAUGGCAGAACGCAAAGUAAGGCAUGAGGGGAAGGUUGGCUGGAUCUGGAGUGGACGGAUCGAAAUCAAACAAAGACGAGCUGAACAGAUCUUCAAACGAGACUGGAUCUGUGGGACAGAGCAGAUGGAAACCGGAGCUGUGCAUGACAAAUCUGAACUGAAACUGGUCGAUAGUGGAGCAAAUCAGAACCAGAUGCGGAAACUAAAUCAGAGCAGGUUGGAAUCAGACUGAACGAAUUCAAAAUCUGGAGGUGAACAGAACAAAAAGUGAACUUAUCAGAGCUGAGAGGCUGAGCAGAACUAAACAAAAAAUGAAUCGGGGGCAGAUGGUGGUGAAAACGAAGAAGACGACUGGGAUUUGGAUGGUGGCAGAUUUGAGCGGCAAAGGGAAUUAAGGUGCGGCGAUGGUGGUAGAUUUGGAGAUCUAAGGGGCAGCGGCGGAGACGGCUAAUGGGGGAUGGCUCGACCUCUGUCGACGAAUGAUCAAUGGAGGCAGACAUCGAACGUGGAUGUGGGGGCUAGAUUCAAUGAGACAAAAGAAACCUAGAGCUCUGAUACCAUGUUGCUUUUAUGGAAUAAAUCUUUAUUUCAUUGAUCAUUUAGCAAAAGUACAAGACUAAAUAUACUAAAUGAGGAAUAAACUUAAGGAAAGAAUCGACAUAAUAAUAUCUCCUAUAAAUACUCUAAAUACUCCAAUAAUCAUCUCAUUCAGCUUUAGUUCAACCCUCUUACACAACCCCUUUCCUUUACAACGCGUGCCAUUGCCAAUAGUGAACCCCAAACUCAGUACCCUUCACAACUAAGAUUUCCCUAUCCUCCACUAAUUCUGGUGUAUAAAGUUGUGUGUGGCCCCCCUAUCAUUCAGCUUUAGUUCAAUCUUCUAUGCACUUGGAUAUCAUAGAAGGAACUGAAAUUGAGCUAAAAACGAUUACUGGAUUUUCUUCAAAGGGAACCAUGAAGAUGAAAGGGAUGGUAAAAUGGAAAGAAUUAGUGGAGGAUAGGGAAAUCUUAGUUUUUCUUCCAUCUAUCAUUGAGCCAUUGCGAGUGUAAAAACCUCCAGUUUCAUGGCUCUGAUACCAGUUGUUAGGAUACUAACAAGAAUAAUCUAAAAUAUCCCAACUUAAUGGCAGAAACUGAGACAGUACUCUGCUGAUUUAUAUAUAGACAUAACCAAAAAUGUGAUAACAAAUCCAAAGAUGACGAUAACGAAAAGAACAAACAACAAGAAAAACAUAUCAGCCUCCUGACAAUGAGCUGAGAAACUUGCUACAGCAGCCUUUACAACCAAAAGAUGGAAGAUAAAAUAACCUAGCUACCCUAAACCCAAUAAAGGUUUAUAUAUAGCUCUCCUAUCUUCCUCCCCGCGAGUCCCACCUGCACAAACUUUUUCAGAUUAUUCCUCCAUCAUUAAAUGCUUGUUCAUUUACCUUUUUACCCCUCCUCUUGUACGUAUAAAUAAUAGGGGAUCUUACAGAAGUCUGAUUGGAGCAAAUACAAGAUGGUUUGAGCUACACUACAUUCAAUUGAGUUAUUAUAUCAUGGGGGGAGACAUUUCUGAGCAUAUUUGCUACAUCGGCAGUUUAUAUAAAUAAAUAUAGUAGACGCUACAAAAAGCUUGAAUCUUCUUAAAGGGAGCAAGAUACUCUCUCCUCAAACAAAUUGUGUGAGUUUGUUUUUCAAUAUCUACUCCAUUAUUCUUGUUUGGUCAAUAGAAUUUUAUCUAUAACGUCAAUGAUUAAAUUAUCAUAUUAAUAUCAAAUUAAAAUAAUAAUAACAAUGUUAACUAAAGAUUGAAUUACAUUUCCCACAAUGGAAGCACUUUGGAAGAUAUUGGGCGUACCUUAUUGUGGGCUGCUGAGCCACCAUACUGGUGUGCGAGUGUGUCACCCAUUCUCUCAUAAAAUGCCAUCAACUCAUCAGCUAAAGGGGCAUCAAGAUGGAUUUUGGGGGAAUCUAAAAUUUCCAAGGCAUGAAGCUGGUGUCCAAGAGCAGCAAACCCGUAUGCAUAUUGUGCAACAUUUGUACGGUCGAGGCAGUCUAUGCAAUUGGUCCUGAGCACCCCACUCUGGAAUAACGACUGCUUAAUAAUGUAAUUCCCAUUAGAAGCAAGGUUGUCCGCACUUAUUUGCUUUUCCAUGCUAGCAGCAUCUUCGACAUCAUUGUUUGAAUGUAACUGAGAAGAUAUGCUACAAUUUCCUUCACUCCUGAAAGAAAGUUUGCAUAUAAAGUUUAUUGUCGGGAAGAGUCAAGAAACAUGCUACCAGAAAAGUGACACCAUUGCCAACCAGACUGUACUCCUUGGCUAAAAUCUAUCGUUCAUUCUUACAUUGAGAGGGAGACAUCAGCUCAGAAACAUAACCAUGGAAAAAAAAAUGUGAAUAUGCAUAGUAACCAACUAAGAAGCACAGACACCUAAGUUUGGCUAGCGUGUUCAUGUCAAGCACUCUAACACUUGUUUGACACAUAUAAGACACUUGUUAAUGCAACAAAUUUGUUAGACAUGAUGAAAUAUUGGUCAAGUAGAGAUUAAAAAGGCAUAUAUUUGGGCAGUAAUCAUAAAUUCUUAGGGUGAAAUGCAUCAAGCUAAGUUUUUAAACAUCUAAAUGCAUCAACAUGUUUGCUUUAAACCUUCUUUUGGUGUAAAAAUGAUGUAUAUUUUUUAAAAAAUCAUUUCAAUAAAUCUGUUCUUGUGUUUUAAAAGAAUAUUGUGUUGUGUUCUACCCAUGCUUAAUAGCUAACCAGCCAUCACUUUGGCCAAAUCCAUAUAGAUAUUAGUUUUGGAUAAAUAGGUGAGACCUAGUGGACAUGUACGGUAUAUAAUCAGACAGAAGAAAGGGCCAUGAACUACGUACAGUGUAAAAAUAUCUAAUAUAAUCAGCUCAAAUCACUAAGAAGGCAUGGGCGUUUGGAGCAACAAAUGGGUUAUUAUAGUCCUAGGUUAUUAUAUUUGAGUUAUAAUAAUUUGUGUUUUGUAUGUAGAUUAUUUUAGUUUGGAUUAUGAUAGUAUGUGUUUCAGGUGUAAAUUGUUUUAGUUCGAGAAGGAAGUGGUAAACAGUGUAGAAGGAAAUAGCAAACAUUGUAGAAAAAAAUAAAAAUGAUGAAUGUAAAAUAGUAAAAAUUGUAGCAAAUAGUAAAUACCGUAGAAAAUGGGAAUGAUAAAAUAGUAUUUAUUAUAGCUAAUUGAGAACUUUAUCUUUUAAAGGAAACAAGAUUCUGUCAGGCUCCCAAACACAAAUAACUAAUAAAAGACCCAACAGUGGCUAAACAGAGUCAGUACUCUGCUAUUUUUUAUUUAUAUAUAAGCCAAAAUAUCACAAGCAACAAGAUAAACGAUAACGAAAGAAAGAAAUACCCAGAAAAACAUACCAGCUCUCUUUACAAGAAGGAUACUACCCUCUUGCGGCUACAGCAGCCUGCCCUCCUAAAGAAGAUUCCCAAAAUAAAACCUACCCAGCCUAUUACAACAUUUCCUAUUUAUAGUUCUCCUAAAAUUCCACCCAGUGGCCCAUUCAGCACGUGCUCCUUCCCCAUCAUUCUUUCUUAUUAUUAGCUGGUGAAUUCUCAUUUCUGCCCCUCCUCAAAUACGUAUGUAUAAUUGGUGGUCUAACAAUACCUUUCGAUUCCAGAUUCACCUUGUCCUCAAGGUGGAAUGUGGGGAAUUGUUGAUUCAUCUGGUAUACAGCUUUCCAGGUAGCUUCUGAUUCAGGUAGAUUCUUCCAUUUGACUAACCAUUUAUUCGCUUCCAGCUCCUUAUUCCAACAGAUUCCCAAUACCGUCUCAAGCCAUAACUGUAGCUCAAAGUCCUCUGUCAAUAUAGGAUGUUGUUGCUGGACCACUUGUUGAUUUCCCAGCUUGAGUUUUAGUUGGGAGAUGCGAAAAACAUUGUGAAUAAUUGCUUCCGGGGGGAGUUGAAGCCUGUAUGCUACUUCUCCUAUUUCUUCAAUGAUUGGAUAUGGUCCAUAAAAUCUAGGGGCCAGUUUUUCACAUCUUUUGCGAGCUAACGAGCGUUGCCUAUAAGGACGGAGUUUCAAGUAUACUUCAUCUCCUAUUCUGAAUUUCAGUUCCCUUCUUUUUGUGUCUGCCAUUUUCUUCAUACGAUUUUGUGCCCCAGUCAGAUUCUCCUUCAGAGCAUUCAAUGCUAAGUCCCUUUCUUUUAAUAUUAACUCUACUUCAUUGUUCGGAGUUUUUCUAUUCCCAUAAGAAAUGGGGGGGGGGGGUUGUCUUCCAUACACCGUUUGGAAAGGGCUGGAUCUCGUGGAGGAGUGGAAUGUUGUAUUAUACCACAACUCAGCCCAUGGAAUAAACUUAUCCCACUUGUGCGGUUGCGCGUUGCAAAAGCAUCUUAGAUAUGUCUCCACACACUGAUUGACUCUUUCAGUCUAUCUAUCGGUUUGGGGGUAAAAAGCGGUACUUCUUUUCAAUUUAGUUCCCAUGGAUGCAAACAAUUCUUUCCAAAAAUGACUAAUGAAGAUUUUAUCCCUGUCGGAUAUUAAUGAUUUAGGUAUUCCAUGUUGGCUGACCACUCUUUCAACAAACACUUUGGCUACCUGUUUUAGCUGUGAAUGGGUGUUCCAUGGUAACGAAAUGAGCAUACUUGCUUAAUCUGUCCACAAUGACCAUGAUCACGUUCAUUCCUCCCGCUUUUGGCAAUCCUUCUAUGAAAUCCAUGGACCACUCCUCCAAUAUGGCUUUCGGAAAGGGUAUUGGUUGAAGUACCCCUGCUGGUUUUGUGGCUUCAUAUUUGUUCCUUUGACAUACCUCACAUUGCUCGACGUAUUUCUUGAUGCCUGUUUUCAUUCCUUUCCAAUACAGCUCUCCGCUCAUUCUUUUAUAGGUUCUUAGGAACCCUGAAUGCCCUCCUAGAAGGGAAUCAUGGAAAGUAUGCAUCAACGUCGGUAUCAAUGAAGAAUUUCUGGAAAGCACAACUCUGUUCUUGUAAAGAAGUUUCCCAUUCUCCAAACGGUAUUUACUCCCUUUCUCGGAACCAUGUUGUAACUCCUCCCUAAUUCUUUGGAGUUCUGUAUCUUGCAGCACUUCCCGAUUCACUAUUUCCAUAUUCACAAUUCGUACCGUGGACAUCGAAUUCAUUUCCAUUGGUUGUUCGAUUCUACAGAGUGCAUCUGCUGCCUUGUUUUGUAGCCCCGGUUGAUAUAGUAUCUCGAAAUCAUAUCCUAGUAGUUUGGUUAACCACUUUUGGAACUGCAGUUGUACCUCCCUCUGUUCCAGCAGAAACUUGAGUGCUUUCUGAUCUGAUAUAAUUGUAAAUUUCCUCCCAAGGAGGUAAUGCCUCCAUUUCUACACGGACAGUACGACAGCCAUGAGUUCUCUUUCAUAAACCGAUUUGGAUUGUGCUCUGCUGGAUAAUUUUUGGCUGAAGAUGGCUAUGGGAUGCCCAUUUUGAGAUAGUACCGCCCCCAACCCUAUGCCCGAUGUGUCUGUUUCAAUAAUAAACGAUAGAUUCCAGUUAGGCAACGCUAGAACGGGGAUGGUAGUCAUGGCUAUCUUUAAUUUUUCAAAAGCUGCAGAGGCGUCUUCAUUCCAGAAGGAGUUCUUCUGGAGUUUAGUUAGUGGGGCGGCAAUUUCGCCAUAUCCCUAGAAAAUCUCCUAUAGUAGCAGGUCAAGCCUAAGAAUCCUCGCAAUCUGGUCACAUCCUUGGGUUGAGGCCAGUUUGUCAUAUCCUUAAUUUUCUCUUCAUCCGCUUCUACACCUUUACUGGAGAUCAUGUGUCCUAAGUAUUGGAUUUGAGAGUGCUAUUACGCACUCUUUCUUAUUCGCGAACAAUUGAUUAUCCCUCAUGACACCAAAGACCAUACCCAAAUGUUUCGCAUAUUCCGACAGAUCAAUGCUAUACACUAAAAUAUCGUCAAAAAACCAAUACACAGCGUCUUAAGAAGGGUUUGAAUACCUGGUUCAUCAAGGAUUGAAAGGUGGCUGGCGCAUUGGUGAGACCGAAAGGUAUCACAACAAAUUCAUAGUGUCCCUCGUGUGUUCUAAACGCUGUUUUUUCAAUGUCUUCCUCCAUACAUAUUUGGUGAUACCCCGAUUUUAGAUCCAACUUCGAGAAUACCGUGGCUCCAUGUAAUUCAUCCAGCAGCUCCUCUAUUACUAGAAUGGGGAAUUUAUCUGAAGUGGUCACCUGAUUUAGCUUUCUGUAGUCCACACAAAAACGCCAUCCCCCAUCCUUUUUCUUAACUAACAAGACGACUGGAAUAAGGACUACGGCUGGGCCUGAUCACUCCUGCUUGUAGCAUUUCCACCACCAACUUCUCAAUCUCUUCUUUUUGCACGUGUCCAUAUUUAUAUGGUCGUACAUUAAUUGGUUGUUGAUUCGGCAUUACCAUGAUGCGGUGGUCUAUUGCUCUCUUAGGUGGUAACCCCUUUGGAUCUUCAAAUAGAUCGGUAUACUGUUGCAACAGCGUUCUGAUCAUGGGAGUGUCUUCUUCAUCCCCUUUUUUAGUCAGUUCCUCAAUUCCAUUUUCAUUCUCUUCAAUCUCAUAGUUGACUAGUGAUAAUAAAAACCCUUGAUCUUCCUUCUCCCAGGUUUUUUCAAUCGUCUUCAAGGAGCAUUCUGCUCAGAUGAGGGAAGGGUCCCCUUUUAGUUCAAUUUGCUUUCUUCCGACCCAAAAGGACAUGGUCAGUGACGGCCAAUGUAUUUUCAUAGUGCCUGUGGUGUCUAACCACUGCAUUCCUAGGAUUGCAUCUACAUUUCCCAUCUCGAUUAUCAAAAAAUCUGCCACUACUGUGAUCCCCUGUAGUUUCACUUCCAGCCUCUUACAUAAUCCUCUCCCUUUACAACAAGUCCCGUCCCCAAUUGUUACUGCAAAGGUGGUGUCUGCCUCGAUCGGUAUCUUCAUUUCUUCUAUGAUCUUAUAGUGCACAAAGUUGUGGGUGGCUCCACUAUCGAUCAGCACCACUACUUCUCUUCCUUUUAUUUCACCCCUUAGUUUUGUAGUACCCUUUGAGGUCAGCCCAGUAAUGGUGUUUAAUUCGAUCUCCUUCUCCUUGUUAAGAUCCAAGUUAUUUAAUUCCAACACUGCCUCUGUGUUUUCCUUUAUCAUGUUCUCCUCUUCAUUCCCUUCUUCCUCAUUCAUGAUGAAUAACAUUAGUUCCCUUUUUUCCUUCAUUCUACAUCUAUGCCCCGGGGAAUACUUCUCAUUACACUUGAAACACAGCCCUUUGUCAAGUCUGGAUCUAAACUCAGCAUCUGAUAGGCGUUUAACGGGUGGUUCACUCCUUUGGUAAUUACCUUCGAUGGGUAUCCUCACUUGCUUCAUUGGGAAGUCAGUCUUCCUUACUACCCCUUUCUCCAUUCCCUCUUGAGCUUUGCCCACAGACCCUUCUCCUUUCUUGUAUUCUAUCAUUUUCCCUUCUGCCUUUGUCAUUGUCAACGUCAUGUUACGAUCAUUAACCAAUUGAGCCUCUCUCAUGCAAUCUUCCAACGUCUGUGGAUAUCUGCUGACCACUUCUGCCUGAAGAUUUGGUUCCAACCCGGUCAGAAAGGCGUCUCUUAAUACACUCUCCUCCAUGUGGGGUAAAGGUGCCGAGUAGUUGACAAACUUUUUCACAUAGUCACUGUAAGAACCAUCUUGUUGGAUCUGAUCAACCGUGCUACUAAACUUUUCUGCCCAGAAUCUUUGAAGAAUUCGAACAUCCUUCCUUUUAAAUCUUCCCACGACUCUACCCUUUUCCUAUUAUGUGUCCAUCGGUACCAAUCCACUUCAUCUUGCCCAAAACUGACCACAACCACUUUGAUCUUCUCAUUUUCGGGUAGAUUGUUGAUUUCGAAGAAGUGCUCGGCCCUGUACACCCAGGAUUCCAGGUUUUCGCCCAAGAACAUAGGCAUUUCCAACUUCUUGUACUUACUUCGAUCGAUUAUGUUCUGAUUCGUAUCGAUUGUAAGCUCGGGUUCUUCUAUUUUUCCUUUGAGCUUCAUGACCGAACCAUCAGAUGUUCCCGACUCAUCUUUUUUUUUUUUUGUAGUUAGAACUCUCCCGUAACUCAUCCGCCAUUCUUUCCAUUGUUUUCUUCAUCUCCAUUAACAUUUCCUUCAUACCCAUAAUUUCCUUCUCUGUUCCCUCCACCCUUUCCUCAAUCUGUCGCUGUGCCAUGAGUCGCGUGACCACCCCCAGUUUUAUGGCUCUGAUACCAAAUGUUAGGCUCCCAAACACAAAUAACUAAUAAAAGACCCAACAGUGGCUAAACAGAGUCGGUACUCUGCUAUCUUUUAUUUAUAUAUAAGCCAAAAUAUCACAAGCAACAAGAUAAACGAUAACGAAAGAAAGAAAUACCCAGAAAAAACAUACCAGCUCUCUUUACAAGGAUACUACCCUCUUGCGGCUGCAGCAGCCUGCCCUCCUAAAGAAGAUUCCCAAAAUAAAACCUACCCAGCCUAUUACAACAUUUCCUAUUUAUAGUUCUCCUAAAAUUCCACCCAGUGGGGCCCAUUCAGCAUGUUCUCCUUCCCCAUCAUUCUUUCUUAUUAUUAGCUGGUGAAUUCUCAUUUCUGCCCCUCCUCACAUACGUAUGUAUAAUUGGUGGUCUAACAGAUUCUUCAUCAAUAAAAAUGAGACUAAUGCUCAAAGUACAAGAGGAUUAGACAAAAAACAUAAAAGAAAAGACCUAAGGGUCAAUGGACGCAGCCAAGCAUCUUAAUGAGGUUAUUUACACAUCUUAGUGCCCUCAUCAUCUCCAAACAAAUAAACAAAAAUGAUAAAGUACAUAAUACUUCAGUUGUUUCCUUUCAGGAAUUACAGAGAAACAAUCUACAUGGAAACAAAAACUAUAAAACAGCAUAAAAUGGUAAGCUCACAAGAUCACCAUUCAAAAGGCAUUUUUCACAUCAAGUUGGUAUAGCAGCCAAUUUAAAUUAACUCAAGACAAAGAAAAAAAAAAACUCUAAUGGAGUUAAUUUUAGCAACAGGAGCAAAUGUUUUCUGAUAAUCAAUUCCAUAUAUCUGGGUGAAUCCUUCAGCUAUCAUUCUUGCCAUGUAUCUUUCACUUUCAUCAGCAUAACAUUUUAUGGUAAACACCCAUAUACCACCCGCAGGUUUCUUAGUUUUAGGCAACUGUAUUUCCCAAGUUUCAAUAUGUUUUAGAGCAUUUAUCUUCUCCCUAACAUCUAAUUUCCAAUUUCCCUCUUUCUCCUCUCACAUUACCUACAUAAUUUCUUUCAUUUCUUAUUCUUUUUUUAUUACACUAUUUCUCCUCCAUUUUUGCUUCAUUUUUUUCUCAGUCCAUUGUUUUGUUUUCUUCCCUUCUUUUCUCUCUUAUUUUCCUCUUCGUACUUUUUUCUUUCUCCAUUUGUCAAUUUCUCUCUAUCUUCUUUAUUCUUCAUUUUCUUGUUUCCUUUCUUCACUUUUUUUUCUCACAUUUCACCGGAAAUACGAAACCAACAAAACCCCCCGCCUAGCCCAUGUGAUAGGAUGGCCAACAUCUUCAGCACCUCCAUAAACCAUCAUAAUAGACCAAUAAGCAUUGAGUUGUCGGUGGUCGGCAGCGGUUUUUAUCCAAAACCAAUCCCGCCCAACCAAUGAUCACCCAUAGCUGGAUUCUGUUGAUAUGAGGAUAAGAUAUUUGAUGUGUUCAAGUUUAAUUUCACACAUACAAUUCCAUCAUAUAAAUGGCCAAGAAAGUAAUUGAAUCUAAAAAUGAAUAUACAUACAAAAAUGACAGGAUAAUUAAGUACCUUUCAGAUCUUAAAGCUGGAGUAACUUGACAAUAAAAGAAUCCCGUAAGUGUCAAUGCAAAAGAAGCCACUUUCCCCAGAAGCAGUAAAACAUUUGUAGCUUUACUGAAAGUUGAAAGAACAAUAUUAAAACCAAAGACUUAACGACAAAAACUUAACGACAGGAAUACGUAACGACAGGAAACCAAACAGAAUACGUCACAAGUAACAAACAACCAAAAGUUCUAGACAAGUUCCCAAAACUCAUGUCACAAGACACAGACCUCCGAGCAUGCUUGUGUAGAUCCCAAUGAAGAAACCUAAGACGGUUCUCCUCAGAUAAAUCAUUAUUAAUGAAGUCAAUAGCAUUAGCAAACUCAGCACGAAGAAUAGAUUCUCGUGGCUUCUUCUCACGUGUCUGUUUUCAUGAAAAGCCAAAUAUAACUUCAGACUGAUUAUUAAUUCAAUAAAAGCAUGAAUCUGAAAACAUCAACAGGCGCUCUAGUAUAGGACCAUAACACAGCGUGAUACAUCCUCCAUCUGUUGAAUGUUAAACAAUUAUUGCAAGUACUAUUAAAGUAUAAAAAGAAUAAUUUAAACUAAGUACCUUUAUCAAGUUCAAUAUAAUUAUGGGGUUUCCAUAUCUUUUAGCAAGAUUUUCAAAAUGAAGUCUCGUUGCUUCAUAAUUUUGAUCCUUCUUUGACACUGGAAAAACAAAAAUUGGGUUAAAGGAACAAUACAUAAGCUGAUUAAGAACAAGUACAAUGGAAUCAAGGUCAUACGUAUAAUAUCAGGCCUUAAGUUCAAGCGUGAAGUUUCCUGUGACCAGAAAAGAGGGAUUGAGCCACGAUUCUGGACGAUAGAACUUAAUUGCAUAGAAACCCCUUCAGGGACAUCCUCAAAAACGAUCUGUUCAGUCUCGACGUCAUUUGCCACUCUACCUUUCUCAUUUACACCUCGUUUCAAAUACCUACAAGAUAGGGGAAAUAAAUAUAUAUACACGAUAAUUCAGUGGAUAGACUUCAUCAAAAUAAAAUGAAUAACUCAACUAAAUUGUCAGUAGUUGAUCUCCUGAAGAUUAAAAAAUCAAUAAUUUAGUUCCAGGAGGAAAAGUGUAAGAAAUCAAGCUUUGUUAAUUCUGCUGUAAAUUAAACAUUACUAAGAUUGUUUCCCUAUGUAUUCUAUGUAUAUUUUAUUUCCAUAUAGAUUUAGACUGAUUGCUUCAGUCUAGUAUUUGAUUAAGAGUUCUUUUGUAUAAACGUAAGAGUUUCCUCACCAUUCAAUUAUAAGAAAUUCCAUUUUCUCAUACAUAGCUUCAUGGUAUCAGAGCUUUAGAAUUGAUUUUUCUUCGUCUUCGGAAUCCUAGCCACCAUUACGGAACCCUAAUCACCGUAACUAGAUCUAUCUUCUUCCAUAGAAAAAAUCUCACCCGAACCCUAGCCGUGUCGUGGAAAAUUCAUUGAUUGCGUUCAAACCAGAUUUCUGCAAGCAGUUAUUCUAUCAUGUUCUCCCAUAUUAAUCUGUCUCCUUCACAGUACCGGACCCCUCAGCAGCUGAAAAACAUUUGAGCUUCAUCGAAAACUAACCCUACAUCCAAAAGGGAAAGAAAACUUCCCCAGCAAUUGGUUGAGUAAGGGCAGAUAAUAAAGAGAUGCAACAGGUCCUCACUGUCCUUCAUACGUAGUGAGCACACCAAGGGCACACUUUGCAUAAUCAAGGAACAAUUUAGACGACCGAAAGCCAUAAUCUUAGAUCAAUAUAUUAACUCUCCUUGGACUGCUAGAUUUCCAGAGAGCUUUGAAAGUUCCUUUAUCUAGCGGGAACGAUGGAGAAAGAUGAACUGAAAGGGACUUGACUGAGAAUUUGCCUAACGAAUCAAUUGACUAGAAUUUACUAUCGUCCGACUCCAUCACCCUUUCAGAAGAAAGAAGAUAUAGCAGAGACUGGAAAUCUGGAAUUUCGUCUUCUUUUAACUGUCUUUGAAUCACGAUAGACCAAGACAUAGUGGAAUCGUCUCAACGAGCAGCAACUGAGCCGCUAGGUAGCAAAGAAAUUCUGAAUAGCUUAGGGGAUUGAAGAUUGAGGGGGAUGUCACCAGUUCAUUAAUCUGUCCAAAAAUCAAUUCUUCUUCCAUUACCAAGAUUAUAUAAAGCCAAAGGUUCCACCUUCCUCUAAACUCUUGAGAUGCUGAGCCAAGGACUCUUCAAACUGUUCCUGGAUUUGCCUUUCAUGUGCCAGUCAAAGGCCUCUUUACCAUGAAUACUUCUUAUAACUUGCCACCUAAACCAAGACUCCCAUCAAACUAAGGAGUAACCUUUUUCCAAUUCGCCAAAUGGUUUAUUUUACUUCUGGAGUGUCCUUCCCAGAGUAAGUUUCUCACUAUCUUUCCCAAGGAAGAAGCCACAUUGUCAGGAAUGGCGUAUGUGGGAAGGCGGGCCAGAACUGAUUUACAUAGUCUGUCUACCCCCUCUUGAGAUAUUAAGGGUGCGUUUGGGGGAGGGAAAGAGUUAUGGAAGAAAAGGAUUAUGAUAAUCCUAGGAUUAUAAUAAUCCUAGUGUUAUGAUAAUAUGUGCUUGGGGUUGGGUUAUUUGUUUUUUAAACGGAGACAAGAACUUCUUUAUUAAUAAUAACUCAAAGUACAAGAGAGUUAUACAAAGGGAGCCAUAAAGAAGUAGGAUUGUUAUUGGUAGUGUUAUGGUAAUAUGUGUUUGGGGGAAGAAAUAUGAAUGGUACUGUUAUAAUAAUAUGUGUUUGGGGGAGGGAUUAUAAUAGUAGUGUUAUCAUAAUAUGCGUUUGGGAGAAAAAUUAUUGUUGUAGUAUUAUGAUAAUAUGCAUUUUGGGGAAUGGUUAUGAGUGUAGUAUUAUGAUAAGAUGAAGUAGGAAAAUUUGUAGGGUUAUAAGAAGAUGAAGUAGGGAAAUUUGUGUUAUCAUUAGAUGAUGCUUUCACUCGUGUUCUUCGCAUUGAAAGCUCUCCGACCAAUGUGUCUAUUCCUCAACCCAGUAGUGCUCUCUUUAGCAAGAAAAAUAACCCUCGGGCACCUCGAGUGAUGGAUAGCAAUGUUUAGAGGAAUAGUAAUGAUCAUCGAAAACCAGAUUCUGUAGAGAUUGUUUGUAACUACUGUCGUAAGCCAGGCCAUAUGAAACGUGAUUGUCGGAAAUUGUUAUAUAAGAAUAGUCAACGAUCUCAACAUGCUCAGAUAGCCUCCACAUGUGAUAUACUAGAGGCGUCAGUUACUACUUCUGGAGAUGAGUUUGCUAAGUUUCAGAAUUACCAAGAUUCAUUACAAGCGUCAUCUUCCUUUAUUCCGGUUGCAUCCACCAUUGCCUCAGGUAAUACAAAGUGUCUUCUUACAUCAUCUACCAAAUGGGUCAUAGACUAUGGUGCCACAACUCAUAUGACAAUUAAUUCUCGCCUAUUUUCUAGACCGUUGUCCCCUGCCCCUUUUCCAUCUGUUACAUUGGCAAAUGGCUCCACAUCUUUUGUUCUUGGCUCUGGGACUAUUCACCUUACCCCAUCCUUUUCUCUCUCUUUUGUGUUAUAUUUGCCUAACUUAUCCCUUAAUUUAAUUUCUACUAGUCAACUUACUCAUGACCUAAAUUGUGUUGUCUUGUUCUUUUCUGGUUAUUGCUUGUUUCAGGAUCGUGUGACGAAGAAGAUUAUUGGUAGAGGAUAUGAGUCAGGAGGCCUUUAUCUCUUUGAUCAUCAAGUAUCGCAAGCUAUGGUGUGUCCUAUCGUUCCCUCUCCCUUUGAAGUUCAUUGUCGUUUAGGUCAUCCAUCUUUGUUCAUGCUGAAGAAACUUUAUCCAGAAUUUAGGUCUUUGUCCUCUUUAAAUUGUGAUUUGUGUCAAUUUGCUAAAUUUCAUCGUCUUAGUUCGAGUCCUCGAGUCGAUAAACGAGCCAUUGCUCCAUUUGAGUUAGUUCGUUCUAAUAUUUGGGAUCCGUGUCCAGUUGUAUCUCAAACAGGCUUUCGUUAUUUUGUUACUUUUGUUAAAGAUCAUUCUCGUCUAACUUGGUUAUAUUCAAUGAAGAAUCGUUCCGAGUUAUUAUCUCACUUUUGUGCCUUUCAUACUGAAAUAAAAAAUCAGUUUAAUGUCUCUCUCAAAACAUUGCAUACUGAUAAUGCGGGUGAAUAUUUUUCUCAUUCUCUUGGCUCUUACUUGUGUGAACAUGGCAUUUUUCUUCAGUCUUCGUGUGCUGACACUCGAUCUCAAAAUGGUGUUGCAGAACGGAAAAAUAGGCAUUUACUUGAAACUGCAAGUGCUUUAUCGUUUCAAAUGCAUGUUCCGAAAAUCUUUUGGGCAGAUGCUGUCUCCACAACUUGUUUUUUGAUUAAUAGAAUGUCUUCCUCUCUUCUUAAUGGUGAGAUUGCCUACCGUGUUCUUUUUCCUACCAAGAAUUUGUUUCCUAUUGCUCCUAACAUAUUUGGUUGUCUGUUUUGUUCACAACGUUUGUCCUCAUCAUACUAAGUUAGAUCCCAAAUCCUUGAAGUAUAUCUUCUUGGGUUAUUCACAUGUUCAAAAAGGGUGUUAUUGUCCUACCCUUAAAAGGUAUCUUGUUUCGCCUAAUGUUGCAUUUUUUGAGGAUACACCCUUUACUUAAUCACCAUCAAGUUCGUGUCAGGGGGAGGAUGACAAUCUUUUUAUAUAUGAGGUUACCUCUCGCACACCAUCCUCUUCCAUUGAUGUGCCUCCUUCCCGCCGGUUGAUUCCUCGAGUCUACUCUCGACGACCUCCACCACAACCUUCAGACUCAUGUCCUCCAUCAAUGCUUCCUUCAUCAUGCGAUCCGAGGCCAAGUGAUGAUCUUCCCAUUGCUCUUCGCAAAGGUAAACGCAAGUGUACUUACCCCGUUUCUUCCUUUGUUUCCUAUCACUAGUUAUCUCCCCCCCCCCCACAUAUGCUUUUAUCACGUCUCUUGACUCCACAUCUAUUCCUAACUCUGUUCAUGAAGUUUUAUCUCAUUCUGCUUUAGAUUAUAAUGGUACUUUGGAUUUGGUAUCUCGUCCUGCAGGAAAGAAGGCCAUUGGUUGUAGAUGGGUGUUUGCUGUCAAGAUGAAUCCUGAUAGAACAGUGGCUCGAUUAAAAACUUGCCUUGUUGCCAAAGGUUAUGCUCAAAUCUAUGGAAUUGAUUAUUUGAAUACGUUUUCUUCAGUUGCCAAAUUGACUUCCAUUCGCCUAUUUCUUUCCAUGGUUGCUACCCAUAAAUGGCCUUUGCAUCAACUUGACAUUAAGAAUGCUUUUCUGCACGAUGAUCUUCAAGAGGAAGUUUAUAUGGAACAACCACCCGGGUUUGUUGCUCAGGGGGAGAGUGAUAAAGUAUGUCGCCUUCGAAAAUCUUUGUAUGGUUUGAAACAGAGUCCUCAUGCAUGGUUUGGUAAGUUUAAUCAAGCUCUUGUAUGCUUUGGUGUGAAGAGUACAUUCGAUCAUUCGGUUUUCUAUCGCCGAUCUAAUAAUGGUAUAAUUCUACUAGUUGUAUAUGUUGAUGAUAUUGUUAUUAUUGGAAAUGAUGCAUCGGGUUUUUCGUCUCUCAAAACUUUCCUUCAGGGUAAGUUUUAUACGAAAAGAUUUGGGCCAAAUGAAAUAUUUUUUGGGCAUUGAGGUGAUGAGAAACAAGAAAGAUAUUUAUUUGUCUCAACGAAAAUAUGUACUUGAUUUGUUGUCUGAGACAGGAAAAUUAGGAGCCAAACCAAGUGGCACUCCGAUGAUGCCAAAUCAACAACUUGUUAAAGAAGGAUAAUUAUGUAAAGAUCCCAAGAGAUAUAGGAGAUUAGUUGGGAAGUUGAACUACUUAACAGUGACUCGACCAGACAUUGCUUAUUUUGUAAGUGUUGUAAGUCAGUUUAUGUCUCCCCUACAGUGGAUCAUUGGGCUGCAGUAGAGCAGAUUUUGUGCUAUAUAAAAGCUACUCCUGGACGUGGGAUCUUAUACAAAGAUCAUGGACAUACGAGAGUUGAAUGUUCUUCCGAUGCUGAUUGGGCGGGGUCUCGUGAGGAUAGGAGAUCAACUUCUGGAUAUUGUGUCUUUGUAGGUGGAAACUUAGUAUCAUGGAAGAGUAAGAAACAAAAUGUUGUUUCUCGUUCGAGUACUGAGUCAGAAUAUAGAGCUAUGACACAAUCUGUGUGCGAAAUAGUAUGGAUUCACCAACUAUUAUCUGAGAUAGGCUUCAGUAUUACGUGCCAGCUAAAUCAUGGUGUGAUAAUCAAGCUGCACUUCAUACUGCAUCUAAUCGAGUAUUUCAUGAACGAACUAAACACAUUGAGGUGGAUUGUCACUUCUUUCGUGAGAAAAUCCAAGAUGGGUUGGUGUCCACAAGAUAUAUGAAGAGUGGAGAACAAUUGGGAGAUAUUCUGACUAAAGCUUUAAAUGGAGCAAGGAUAAGCUAUUUGUGCAACAAGUUGGGCAUGAUCGACAUAUUUGCUCCAACUUGAGGGGGAAUGUUAUGAUAUAUAUAUAUAUAUAACAUAUGUCCUUUAUUGUAAUUGUACAUAGUGUCUAGGAUUUAUUUUAUUCUCUAUAUAAAUAUGUAACUUUCAUUUGACUCAAUAUGAAUAAGAAAUAUACUUCAUUGAAUUCUAGAUUACAAUAGAAACCUAGGUUUUACCAUCCCCUGCACAUUUGAAGUUUGAUUCACUCUUUAUCACCUCUAAGUUCUCAAUCGUUUGGGCCAACUUCAUCAUUUGAGCAAGCCCAACAAGCUUCCAACAUUCCAUUUCUGCCUUAAUCCAAGGUUUCAAACCAUUCAUAAAUGUCUCUCCUGUGAUUGUCUUCUACAAAAAAAGCAAAGGUGCCAGCAAUUUAUCAAAUAAAUUUAUGUAUUCAUCCACUGUAGUGCCUUGCUUUAUUGUUAAAAAUCUGCCCAAGAUUGAUCCCUCACGGCCUGAUCGAAAUCAAAUAAUAAGUCUUCUCUUUAAAUCUUCCCAAUUAACAAACGGUUCACGAUCUUCAUGAGAUCUAUACCAAUCCAAGGCUGCUCCAUCAAAACUAAUGAUUGACACCGUCAUCUUUUCUGAUUCAGUAAGUUUGUGUAUCUGAAAAUAACGCUCUGCUAUAAAUAACCACAAAUCCCAGAUUAGUACCCACAAAAACUGGCAUGUCAAUUUUCUUGAAUUUGCUUCGGUCCCUUGCAAAUUCUUCUCCUUCCAACUUGGUGUGUUUUUCUUCAGAUUUUCCUCCCAUCACAAAUGAAUUACUGACAUCAAUCAUAGUUUCUUUCUUGUUGGAUGAACCUUCGGGAACUUCUUCCCAUGUUGUCUUUCCCUUAAUCACUCCUUCAAUAUAUUUCAUGAAAGUUUGUUGAUGUUGCUGUUGUUAUUCAGCCUGCACACCCAGCCUUUCAAUGUGCUAGGCCACUGAUAUUAUUUAAAUAUAGCAGGAAAAAUAAUGGUAACAGAAAUAUCAACCCACGCAAGAUUAUAGGGGGAGAGAAUAUCGGGGAAGAUCUUUCACAAUCGUCAGUGAGCAAAACAGAUUAAAAGGGAGAAAGGAGGAGGAAAGAGGGGGGAAGAAAAAUACUUCAGAGUAGGAGAGGCUGUCGUGUUUCAGUUUGAGAGAAGCAGAGGAUCGACAUCAAGUUUAUUUAAUAGUUGUUUGGUCGUUUACAUUGUUAGGAGUUUUUCCAUAUUUUGUUUGCCUUGUUCUGAUCUGUUCUGAUUAGAUUGAGGUUUAGAUAGGAGUGUGUGAAUUUUUCUUUGAUUAUUUGAUAUUGUAAUUCGUACAUUCAAGUCAAUAAAAUAAGAUACUAUCAGUAUCUUUACACAAUGCUCUUUGCUAACGAUGAAAAAUCUGUUAGAUACCUAGAUUAGUAUAGGGUAAGGGUAAAAGGGUAAUUAGAUUUGUUGGUAGUUAGUUGGUUAUAAAUAGAAAGUUGAGGAGGGAAGAAGGGUACGAAGAAUUUGGUGAAGAAUUAGGGCUGCAACAUUCCUUGAAAGAGAGGAAGGGCAGAGGGUUAGAGUUCUUUUACUUUUCUUUGAGGGUUAGAGUUCUUUUACUUUUCUUUUACUGCUUUUAUACUGUAAUUUUCUGUUUGAGAUAUCAAUAAAAUAGAAACACUAUAUCAGUGUUCUAUCAAUAUCUUCCUUAAUAGAUGGUAAUCCAUGUAACUCUACCCGAAUGCCAAGUAUCUCUUGAUCAAUCGUUUCCAACUUUUCCUCAAUUCGCUUUUGAGCCAUGGCGAAAACGUUGCAUAGAUUCGAAUCUCUGAUACCAAAAUGAUAGAACACCAAGUAGCGAGUUCUAUUAUUUUAUUAAACAGCCAAACUUUUACAGAAAACUGUAAUAACACAACCUUGAAAACAAAGAACAACACAAGAACUAAUACAGAAAUUAACCAAGUUCAACAUAAAACAUCAAACAUAAUAGUACUUCACGAUAAUGGAAAUAACUUGCUACAGACUACAGAAACCGAACAUUUUCUGCAUUCCCUACUCUCAAGGAAAUUACAGCCCUGCAUUUCCAUAAACUAAUUAACCACCCCAUCUUUCCUUCUAUCUCUCCCUUUUAACCUCCCCCAAUGUAACUAACUGUGGUCCCCACUGAGGUGGUUUCCACUUCCUCCACAUCCAUCGCAUGUGCAUGUAUCAUUCAACUUGUCUUCCUUAUGCUAUAUGUAUUAGAAUUGGUGGUCUAUCACAUUCUUUUCUUUUCUUCCUUCGAGAUUUAUGUACUUUGAGCAUUAGUAUCUUUUCAUUUCAUCGUUGAAAGUUCUUGUUUCCUUUUCAAACAGUUAGAAAUCAAAUGAGAAGUGUAGAGACUUGAGGUUAGAAGCAGAACGGACAUACCUUGUGCCAGCAUAAUGACGAGAACGUCUAGCAAUUAAGGUCAACUUGAAAUCUCUCCCAUCUAGAGAUAGUGUACCCUAUAAGCAAGAAAGAGAGGAUCCUUUGUAAAAUAACGUGAUACUCAAUGGAAAAUGAAACCAUCAAGCAUAUUCAUCAAACAAAAUGUGCAGUGAUAAAACAUUGUUAUCUGUCCUACCAGUGAGUCUUAUUGAACAAUCACCGUGGACUUCAAUCAUAUGCUAACAAAUCAAUCAAAUAUUAACAAAUUCCCAACUACUUUCUUGUUUAAUUAUAGAACAAGAUUUCAUAAAAGAAAGAAUGAAACUUUAAAAAAUGAAUUAAAAUAAUAAUAAUAAUUCACCAAUUGAUUAAAGGCAAGGUUUUUCAAGUCCACACACUAAACUAUUUGAUUCCAACGCUAUCAGAAGGAUAUCCCGGAAGCACCAAUUACUCACCUGCUUGAAAAAGCCAUAGACCAAAGCAACCGUCCAAAUGGUAUUAUGCAAGUGGUUUCGGAUUCCACGAGUCAAAAAUUCAUUCCACACAAACAUGGUUUCAUAAAGAGCGUGACCUGUUUCAUUAUCACAGAUAUUCUUUUGUAGACUACGCAUAACUUGGUAUGAGUAGCUAAAGAAGAAGUCCUUUGUGAGAUCCACCGAGCAUAGGAGCUUCUUGUAUCUAACAUCACCAAACAAACGAAAAAUAAAUAACAGAUUAACUAAGUUGUAAUGCUUACAGUAAGCCCACCAUUAAGUUUCCUACAUCAAAAAUCCAGAUAAGACAGGAUUUUUUUGAAAUGGAAACAACUCUUUUCAUUGUAGUGGUGAAAAGAGACUAAUGCUCAAAAUACAAUAUAGAAAAUGAUAAACCUAACUAUUGAUUUUUGGAGAAAUUGUAUAUUUUCUCUUAUUUUUGGACAAGACCAAAUAAUGGGUAAGUAUAAAACGAAGCCAAAUACUAACAAAGGAAUUCAUUAGAAAAGAAAAGGACAUCUAAAAAUAUUAAAAGAUAUAAAUAAAUUUACACAAAACUACAAUCCCCUUGGCUAGGAAUUAAAAGAUAUAUAUAGAAUACAAUCCAAGCUUGGAAUUAAAUUCAUCAAAAUUUCUUCUCAAUAAAGUUGUGGUAAGAAUGUCGGCAAUUUGAUGGCAAGAUGGAAUAUAGUUUAGUUCCACUAAGUUCAUGUUAACCUUCUCAGAUAUGAAAUUUCGAUCUAUCUCGAUAUUGUUUCGUUCUCAUGGUGUAUAGGAUUCUUCACUAUGUUGCUUGUUGCUUGACUGUCGCGAAAUAAUUUGAUUGAAUUUUGAGUUUUAUCCUUAGCUCAUUUAAAAACUUUUGAAUCCACAUUCCUUUAGAAAUUUCCAAAAUUAGUGCUCGAUACUUAUCCUUUGCACUGAAUCUAGCAACAAUUUGACUGCCUUUUACUUCUCCAAGUGACUAAGUUGCCCCAAACAUAAGAGCAAUAUCCAGAUGUAGAACUUCGAUCAGUUAAAUCUCCAGCCACUAGCAUCAGUAUGAAGUUCUAGUACAACUUUUUAAACAGUAGCCCAUGAUCUGGAAUUCCUUUCAAGUAUCUUAAAAUUUUGUUAAUAACCCAAAGAUGAUGUUCAUUUGGACUGUUCACGGCUAACUAACAAUGUGCUGGAAUUCCUAUAUUUGUAUAUAAAUGACAAUUGUCAAGAUAUUUAUCAUUAUUAUAUUUAUUCUUUCUAUAUUUCAAGGAGGAAUUUCUUCUACAACGAAGACCUAAAUUACACGUAUCCAAUAGAAAAAUAAUAUUACUCCCUACAAAUUCAAGAUUGUAUCAAAGUAAGUUGGUUCAGGAGAUCGUGUGUGAUGUAGGGUUAUCAAGGGUAUUUUGGAUAUUUCUUGUACUUGACCUUUUAUAUUCACCUUUAAAUAUUUUAGAUUUAACAAGUGUGACAAAACCCUUCGUCUUCGGGUCUCUUUAAAGGAGGUUAGGUUUAGUUAUCUAGUUAGGCAGUUUAGUUGUGUAACCACCCUUUCCCUUUGGUCCAUUUAAAGGGAUCAAUGUUUUCAUUCUCUCAUUAUUCACAAUUAAUAAAACUCCUGCUCCAAAAUUCUUCCAAGAUUUCUCCAAGACUCUUUAGCCUUCAACAAUUGGUAUUAUAGCGACCUCGAGAAGGGACCUCAUGACGAGUAAAGGGCUCAGUAAACUCCCCACUCUUCCUUCACUCCCACCCAAUGAUGCAGAAGCAUCCUUCACCACCUCUUGUCAAACCACAAGCUGAAGGUUAGGCAAUGUGGACAAGCAAUCAAGAAGCUGACCUUGGACGUGGGACGAAUGGUUUAAAAUCAACUAAGAACUCAUCAAGAGGCAUUGGCAGGGAAUCAAGCAGCCGGAAAUGUACAAAAUCUGCAGCAAGAAGCUCAUCACAGACCUAAAAAUCAGCAGUAAAUACUGCAAGAAAACCAAGAUUUGCAUCGAAUAGUCCAGAGAAUCCUCCAAGAAUCCAAGAACCAGCAAGAAGACCAAAGAAUUAAUAACAGAGGUGUGCAGCGGCCUAAUCUCAUUCCAUACCAUCAACAUAUGCCAGAUAAUUCACCUUAUAGACCCACGCUUAAUUUAUUGGGACUGUAUUCUGAUUCAUCCAAAGAUUAAGAUUUGCCUAGUCCACAGCCACAUUUUCGAGCUAGAAUGAUGCAUUCUCCACAAAGGUAUAACCCACUGUUUCAACAACAGAAUCCUGUUGAACAAGCACAAGACUAUGGAAAAAUCAAGACUAAUAUCAAGAGUGGCAAGGACAACCACAGUGGCGCCAUGAACAUGACUUCAAAAUGAAAUCAACAUACCCCGUACAAUGGCAAGAUUAAUAUAGAAACCUUUUUAGAUUGGGUGAAAAACGUUGAAAAUUUCUUUGAUUAUAUGGCCACCCUGGAACACAAAAAGGUGAAACUUGUUUCUUUGAAACUUAAAAGUGGUGCAUCGACAUGGUGGGAUCCUAUUCAAGGCAAUCGACAUAUGUAUGGCAAAAAACCUAUCACUAGUUGGCCUAAAAUACUGAAACUCAUGAAGCACUUCUUACCGGCUAACCAUGAGCGACUUCUUCACAACCAAUUUCAACAUAGCAAACAAGGAGCUUGAUCAAUUGAAGACUACACAGAAGAAUUCCAUCGUUUGAGUGCUAGAAACAAUUUAGCCAAGAGUGAUAGUCAACAAGUGGCUCGUUUCAUUGAUAAGUCGCAACAAGAAAUCAAAGAAAGUUCCUCAUGACCUACUUCCACUACUUGACAUUCAACACAACAUAAACUUUAUUCCCAGAUCUUUCGGACCAAAUUUCCCCUACUUUCGAAUAAGCCCUAGUGAGUAUCAAGUCUUCAACACUGUGUUCAAACCCAACAUUGUUAUUUCCUCCCCAGUUAAUAUUCAUUUCCACUUCUGAUGCCUUUCAAGACAAUAUAUGAUUAAAUUUACCUUCACCCAUAAGUUUAAUAUGUUGGGCCAAUUGGUGAUUCAAGGUCUUAUAGAAUAUGAUAUGUAUGAACUGGUAUGUGGUAAGUAAAUCAACUUUCCCACCAGCCUUUGAUACAUAUCCUCGUCAACUGGACUAAUCACUUCACUUAGGUCUUGCCUAGAUAUGGAUCCAUAGGUGUUUCAACAGGUUUACACCUAAGAUUUUCAGUCUCCUUUACCAAAACUAAAAUAUAUUUUCAUUUGAGAAAUGACAAUACUAUCCUUAGAUCUUGCCACCUCAAAUUCUAAGAAAAUAUAUCAAGCUUCCCAAGUCCUUGAUUUCAAACUCGGUUACAUCCAUGAAGAUGUAGUAUUUUUGGGAAGGUGGAAGAAUUUAUAACUUCGUUGGUGAAGGGGGUACCUAAUAAAGAUACAUUUAUGUGCACAAGGGGUAAACUUAUUUUGGUUUAGGGCCACGACUUUGGACAAAGGCAGUGCACCCAAAAACCCCGAGAGGAACAUCAGAAAUAAGGUGCGUGGUAGAAUAUGACUCUUUUGAUCUGAAAUUUCAAUGGUUGAUGGAACAAAACCAAAUUGAUUCUUCUUGACCUUAAUGUGAGCUUCACUACAAUUGGUAAAAUUUCAGUGGCUAUUUCUAUGAGUCCUCCAAAAUGGUCUCCAAUUACUUCGAAAAUACUUCUACACCAGAAAUCAAGAGGAAGAUUCUUCACUUUAAUCCAACCUCCAUAGCCUUUCAACAUCAGUGGCCUACUAUGUUUCAAGCUGUCCCAUCUUUCAAAUUUAAGGUGAAAUUUACCCCAUGCCUGCCAUUUACCUACUGCACCAAUUAAUUCACUAAGGGAGCCUUGAUCAAGGCUGAUAAGAGCAUUGUCAUCAUAAAGGAGGUUUAUAACAAUGUUGGAUUGGAAUUUUGAUUCCAGAAAUUUGCAAAUCCAUCUGCAAUCAUCAGAAGCAAAAAGUUUUGAGAUAAUCUAAAGGUUAUCAAAGUUUAGCUUAGCCACAUCAUGGUUUUUAAUUAACCAUUGUUUUUUGAUAGAAGGGCAUGGCAAACUGAACCCUGAGAAGGAUCUUGAAGGAUGGAAUUCAGGCCUGGUUCCAUUCUUCCAGAUUUAGGUACUGAAUGGUUGGAGAUUUUGGAUUUAACAGUAGCAGCAUAACUUUGUUUCUCCAUUGAAGGUUGGAAGGGAGCUUUGGUAGAAAGGGUUGAGAACCAACGGGCGUAAUCUACUAUGUUUACAUACUUAUCCAGCAUUCUAAAGAAGGAGGACCAACCUUGCAUAUUGAUUCCGGAGCAUAUUCUAAGGGUAGAAUGACCUCCUUAGUAAGGCCAAAUGUCACAGCUGAGGAUCCACCCCGAGUUGCCUUGGAACUUGAAGAUUUUCAUUCGCCCUCUGUCAAUUUCACCAUCUUUCUUGAAGAAGCGGUCUACUGGAUUAUUGAGGAGAGUAGAAAUAGUGUGCAAAGUCCAUCGGAGUUGAGCUUCGGAGAUUGAAAUGGAUUUUUUAGCUUCCACAUCUACAAUAAUAAAGUCUUCUUUCUCCUUCCACAUACAGUAAUGAGAUUGAUUAACUUUGCAGCUAGCAACUUCCAUGUUGAGGGGCUGGUCGGAGAGGUUUGACUGAACCGGGGAGAAUGAUGAAGGAGGAGGGAGGAGGGAGGAGGGAGGAGAGAUAUGGGCUUCCACGUCUUCAAUGAUGCAAUAAUUGUUUUCGUUUCAUAUGCAGUAAUGAGACUGAUCUUGCAGCCAAAAACCUCCAUUCUGAAAGAGUUGGUGGUGGCCGGAGGGGCUGGCUGCCGAGGAGGAAAGAGGAGAGAGGAGAGAGGAGAGAGGGGAGAGAACUUCCUUCGUUUCUUAGAAUGAAGAGAUGAAACAUAGUCUAGAGAAGAAUGAAAAACAGGGGAUAAAAACGCAACCCCUUCAUCAUUUGUUUGUGGAUCUGGCCAUGACUAUUGGGAUUCCAAAGUGAUCUUAUUAGAACAAAUAGGAGAGGCUGUAUUUAUUAUUUUGAGCUUCCAAUUCUUAUAUCUUGAAGAUAUUUAAUAUAUUGUUUUUGUUUUUGGAAAUAUUAAUUUAUUUUUUUGCUCUUUCUCCUGUACACUUAGAAAUAAACACCAAGGAACACCAAAAAUUAGAAGAAUAAGAAGAGCCAAAGAAAUCACUAUGAGCAACAGUUGCUGUUCCUUCCUACUAUACCACUUAGAAAUAAACACCAAGCAAUGAAAUUAACUAAGAACCUGUUCUCAUUCUUUGGAAUGGCUAUACUGGACCAAACAGCAGCAUUUGGAAGUGGAAUCAUCUCACUUCUGGAAACACCAUAUAUAGGAUGACCACAUAUUGUACCAAUUUGACGUCUCUUUGUAAUAAGCAGCAUGUAAUAAGGUCCUAGAAAUUUAAUGAAUCCUAGAACAAAAAGAAAGAAACAAUGAUAUUGCAAUAAAAAUAUCACAUUAUUAUAGCAAAAUUAGAACCUUACAGAUAAGAUAAGAUUUGGCUUACCAACAAUACCAUAGCAAGUGGAUACAAACUUCAGUCCUCCAGUAGAUUUAUUACCCUCGUGUAUCCGUCUCAGCAGAUCAGAACAUUCAUUUUCUGUAUAUACAGCAGAAUCUUCACGUAUGUUUAGCUUGGACAAAUCCAUCCUAUCAAUUUUGAGCACCCUCCAAUAUGUUCUACUCUUGUCCCUUCCUACCAUGUAAAAUUUCUAGAACCAAGGAAAGAAGCAUAAAUGGGAAUACUACCACAAAUACAUAAAUACAGUUAGACAGCCACACCACACCACAUCAAGAAGUGACAUACAUCACCAACAUAACGUUUCUUCAACCUUUACUAAACCAAGAUUCUACAGUCAACAGAAGAAAGAAUCUGUUUAGAGGGAAGGAAGAAAAAUAAAAAAGAUAGGAAUUUAUCUACUAAUGCCACCACAAUCAAAUUGCCUCAAUAAGACAAUAUCAGUUAUCACAUAAAUAACAGAAUCAUGGAAAGUUGAUGACCAAAAGCAUAGAAACGUUACUACAGAAGAAAAUUCUCUCAAAACUUUUAAGCUGCAUAGUAAUAUGUUUAGGAAAUGUGUGAAUACGUAGGUAGCUAUAAGUUACAGAACAGCAAACAGAAGAAAUAUGUACGAAUGCUAUAGGCUGUAAUAGGAACCGUAUGAAUUAGCAUGACAAAAACGUAAAGCAUAUUACAAAGUUACUGGUUAAAAGCACAACCAAGGAGAGAUGAAGAGUAAGAGGGUAAAGGAAAAAAGAGUACGAGUGAACAGUAUGAUGAAUAUGGGGAAAUGGGAUGUAAAGAUAGAACUGAAAAGAAAGUGUAGUUACCGAUCGAGUCUCAUAAAGCCUGAAUUUGUGCAUACAAACAGGAGAGGCAGAACGGAGGUCAUCAGAAGAUGCGGCAGAGUUGGAGUAUACAUCAUUUUCUGAUGAUGGGAGAGGAAAUGUUGAGAAUGAGUUAUUCUCAGAGGACGCGGUUGGAUUAGAGGAGGAGAAGGGAUCAGUCUCUGAGGAAGCCAUUUUACAGAUUCCCCGAGCCUUGCAGCACAGGCCCAGGCUCAGGGAAACUAGGAGAAGGGCAUGCAAAUCACACAAUUGAAUUGAAUUGAAUUGAAUUGAAGUGAAGUGAAAGAAAGAAAGGAAAAUGAUAUGAUAUGAAAUCAAAUCAAAUCAAAUAAUAAUCAUCUACAACCAGAACCCAGAACCCAGAAACCACGAAUUCACAACUGCUGACACCUUAAAUCAACCCCAACAAAGACGCUAGGCUGCUUCAAAUACAACAUAGAAUGAUUUGCACAAAAAUAGAACAACUGGAUUCGGUUCUUGAUCGUAUAAUCAUUCAUUUACUAACGGAAACCAAAUGAUUAACAACUCAACAAAACAACAUUUCACUCCAUAAUGUACACAACUACACAACUACAUAUAUACAUAUAUAGAAAGAUAGAGAUAAUGAAGGUUUCUUUAGGAGAGGAAAAAGAAGGAAGUGGUAGGUAAUUAUUGUUGUUGUUGAAGUUUGUUAUUAAAUUUUUAGUUUAAAGCGAGAUACAGAUGGGAGAGGGAGAAGAAUGAUUCGGGCAGAUCCAGGGGCAGGGAUGGGCAGGAGAGGGAAUGGAAUGAAGACCCCAAUUUGGGUGACCGUGCCUGCCGUCCACAGUCCACAAAAAUAUAUUAUUUCAUAAUUGUUCUUUUUUCUUUUAAAUUUAUAUAAAUGAAGUUAAAAAUAAGAAUAAUAUUAUUAGAGAAGGUAUGUGUAUGUGUUGCCGAUCUCGAGUCAUUAUUUUAAUUUACUUGGAAAACCUUAGCUUUGUGAUACGGAUAAUUAGAGUUUUUUUAAAAAAUUAAUUAGUCAAAAUGGAUUAAUUUAAAACUAUUUACGUAAAUAGGUUUUCUUUUUUGUUUUUUUUUUUUUUAAUUUCACACAUUUUUUACGUUAAUUUUUUUCUCUCUCGUGCAUUCUACUUUUUUUUUUUUAAUUUUUCUCUCUCCUGCAUUUUCCCCUAAUUAACCAAAUAUUAUAGUAUUCAUAUUUCCAAAAUAAGGCAUUCAUCAAUUUCCCAAGUUAUUUGUGAUUUAUUCACUCUCUUCGUCAUUUAUUCAUUUAAUCUAAAUACUCUUUUAGAUUUUUUUUGUGUGUAAUAUUCGUCUUCAUCUUUCUCAUUUCUAUCAAUAUCAAGAUCGUUUAUACUUCUCUAUCAAGAUCAUUGUUGUGAGUUUGUUUUCUGUAAGAAUUCUAAAUUUCAUUUUUUGUUGAAUUGUUUAGAAGGUUAUAAAAUUUCGUUAACAAUUCUAUAUUUCAUUAUGAAUUAUAUUGUUUUUGUUUUUGUUUUUGUUUGUGGUAAGAAUUCUAAAUUUCGUUUUCGUUUCAAUUGUGUAGAAGAUUUAAAUACUUUUGUAAGAAUUCUGUAUUCUAUUAUGAAAAUCGUUAGUUUGAAGUUUUUCACAAUCAUUUACGUUGAGCUACACGAUUGUUUACCAAUACCAUCACGAUCGUUUACCUAUAUCAACACGAUCGUUUACUACAUUCAACAAGAUCAUUUAUUGCAUUCAAUAUGAUCGUUUACUAUGGUCAAACAAUAAUUUAUUAUGGUCAACACGAUCGUUUAAUCUUUAAUGUAUAUUAUUUCACUGCAUGAUCGUUUAUCCUUUCAUUGUCAUUGUCGUUCACGUUUUAUUCUUUUAUUCAGUGAUAACAUCAUCUAUGUCUAUCUAUUUCUUUCUACCACUAUUGAAUACUUAAUUGCAAUUUCUUUUUAUAGAAUACAAUGUCUAUUCCUAUAGUUGGUUUUUUAUAGAGGUCAAUGGAAUGGAUGCAAUUUAUAUGAGAAUUACUCAGUUGUUGGAAUUUUGGUGGAUGUCUAAAUCAGCUUUAAUUGUUUGGUUGGUUUAAUAUACAAAAAGAUUCAAUUGGCUGAGUUGGUACAAUUAUUUGUUUUACUGGAUUUUGGUAAAAACAACGUUCAAAAUGAGAUGCCCUAUACAAAAAAAAAACACGAUGUUGUUUGGUAUUUAGCUUUGGCUAAAUAUGCAAUUAGUAGACACAUUCAUUAGUUGCUCAUGUAAGUGUUAAUUCUUUGAAAAAGUCUUCUUCUAGUAGUGUAUAGGAUAAUAUUGAGGUGUCAUUGAAUAUUGGUUUUUCUUCUUAUGUUUCAAAUGAUGAAGUUAUAAGAGAGAUUUCUUAUCAUGGUGAUUUAAAGGUAAAAAAAUUAUUUGAAAGUAAGGAAGUGCUUUCAAAGUGAUUUUGCAUAAUAGUAGUGAAAGAACAACUUUCAUUUAAAAACUACAAUAUCAAAUUUGAGGUCUCUUUAAUUUGGAUGUUUGCAAGAAGGGUGCAAAUGGUAUGUUAGGGUAUCUCAUUGUAAGAAGAUACAUUUAUGACCAUGACUGUUUAUUGAAUACUACCCAAAGUUGUUACAUGCAAGCUUCUUCACGAGUAAUUGGUUGUUGCUUGAUAGAUGAUUUUAGGUUCAUGCCUAAUCACCGUUCCAUUCCAAAAGUGAUUAUCCAUAAGGCUUGUACAAAUCUUGGAGUUAAUAUAGGUUAUCAAAAAGCUUAGAUGGCAAAAGAACACAUAGUAAAGAUAUUAAAAGGUGACACGGUUGAAUCGCACACAUUAAUUCCAAGUUUCUUUGAUAAAAUGGUUGAAUCUAACCUAAAUAUGAUCAACUUUCUAUAUCAAAUUUACAUUCAUUUUCAAAUAGAUGGAGAUAGACAAAUAUCACAAUCUAUCUUAGAUAGACAAAGAUGUUAUCAUUGUCUAUCUAUUUUCUUUUGUUGGUGCUGAUAGAAAUAUUUUGUAUUUUUUUAUAGGUACAUGGACUGCUUUAAAGAUGGAUGAUAGUGAUCCAAUUCAAAUUUUGCUUUAUGGCUUUUGGUGUAUCAAUUGAAGGGUAGAAAUAUUGUAGACCCACCAUUUACGUUGAUAACUCAUUUUUUAAGUGUAAGUUUAGUGGCAUCCUAUUAACAUAUUCAUCACAAGAUAGUAACAAUCAAAUUUUUCCUCUUGCAUUUGCUAUUGUAGAUUCUGAAAAUGAUGCAUCAUGGACAUGAUUUUUUUAGAAGAUAAAAGGUAGUUUUUCAAAUCGAGAUAAUUUAGUUAUUGUUUCUUAUAGACAUCUUAGCAUUCCUAGAAUCAUAAAAAUGAGGAUCAAUAAUUAUGGACGGCAAAAACUGGACAACAAUGUAAUCUUUCACAUAAACUCUUUAGCGGAACUAAAAAUAGUUUGAGUUAGGUUGGAAAUUCAUAUCUACCACACAUCAAGAUCUUGUGGUCAAUACUCAGCCAUAAUUGAUUAAUUAUGAAAAAAGUUCUUCACUUUUUUUUUUCUAAAAAAAUGAGUUUAAAAAGCAUGCAUAUGUCUAUUGGAGAUAUUUGAAUAUUGAAUUAGGUAUUUUGUAUUUUAUUUUUUGGGCUGUAUUUACAUUGAUCUUUCAUUUAUAAUUUGUUUAGGUCAAGACUAGUUUUCAUUUUAUGUAUGUUUGUUGUUUGUGGAGUUAUCUAUUAUAUUGGGAGAAUUAAUUGCGUUUUCUUUUUACUUUAAAAUUUGGGUUCUUCAGUAUUUAAAUUCAAUUAUUUGACAUGAUAAAAACAAAACAAAAAAAUUGAGAAAAGAGAUCAGAUAUACAAGAUUAAAGGGAUUUUAGAAAAAAAGGGUUAACUAAAUUGAAUCCGAGUGUUUAGCUUCCCAACCAUAGAGAAAAGUAAUAGGAGCAAAUGUCUAUAUUUAUAGCCUUUAGACAAGCUUUUAAUCCAAUACAACAGAUGUACUAUUUUAACUUUCCAAACACCUAAACAAAUUAAAUCAAUGUCAACUCAUCAAUGGCAACAAAUUAUUAGUCACUCGCUAAUUUAACAACACUCACUAAUGCAUUUAAAAGUAUUUUUUUUUCUUAUGACAAAGAAGUAAUGAACCCAAAGUUUUGUUUUGUUUUUUUUUUCUUUGAUCCGAGGGGUGGAAGCAGGCAACAGGUAAUAGGAAAGUAAAAUUAAAUGGGAAGGCAAAAGAGUUCAAUUAUUAGAGGAAAAAAAGUACCUAACCUAAGUAACAAAAAAUGUUGAGAAUUGGUUACAUAAAAAGUUCUUUUUUUUUUUUUUUUUUUUUUUUUGUGUGUGUAGGUUGAUUGUGUACUGCUUUUUGGGCAUUAAAUGAUUGUAAUUAAAGGAGAAAAUAAAUUGGUUGGUCCAUAGUCUAAGUGAGUUGAGUCCCAUAAUUUAUAAUCUUAACAAACUCAUUCUGCUAACAUAUGAAAAUAGAAGUCUGCAGUUGGGAAACUCAAGUAUUAUGGAAAUCAUACGUAGGGAUUGUGUUUUUUUAUUUUUUUAUUUUUUUAUUUUUUUUAUUUUUUUUAUAAUACACUACUACAAGAAAUAUCAAUUACGAUAGCAUAAAAAAAUGCUAUUGUUGAUUUUUGAUAGCGUUUUCGAAAUGCUAUCGUAGCCGAUGCUAUUGAAAGUCCAUGAUUUUUCAUAGAUAAUAUGUCUCAAUCGAUAACACAUAUAUGAUUCUAUAAAUAUUUUUUAUAACGUGAAAAAAAUGCUAUUGAAAAUUGUAUAGCGUUUUUUAUUGCGUUGGAAAAAUCGUUAUCAAAAUGUUUCAAUAGUGUUUUCAAUAACAUUGAAAACUGCUAUAAAAACAUUUUAUAUCAUUUAUUAUUGCAUUCGAAAAACGUUUCAAUAGCUAUUUUAAUAAUAUUAAAAAAGCGUUAUCAUAAUGUUUCAAUAGUGUUUUAAUACCAUUGGAAAAAUGUUAUAAAAGACUUUUUGUAGUGUUUUUUAUUGCGUUUGGAAAAGCGUUAUCAAAACCAUUCAAUAGCUAUUUUAAUAACAUUAAAAAAUGCUAUAAACCAUUUUCUUUAGCGUUUUAUGAAUGUUGUCGUAGCAAAAAGUCUUUGACUUUUAAUAGCGUUUUUGGAGAGCUAUUAAUAGUAAUAUAAAAAUUGAUAUAUUAUAGCUUUAAUUACUGUUAUGGAAACAUUUCAUGGUAUUGAAAAAUAUCAUAAAAAAUGUUAUAAGAAUAAAAAGACAUUAUAAAAGACUAGAUUUGUUAUUGAAAGUCUCUUAUUUUUAUUAGCAUUAUUUAUUGUUAUGGAAAAAUAUAAAUACCCCGUUUUUACCCACAAACUUUAUUGUUGAUUGCCCUCUAUAGCAUCUUUUGUAAUAACACAAACAUAAUUAUAAUUGAUCUAAUAGCACUUAUCCAAUAUUAUUAUUCUAAAAUCAAAUUAUAAUCAUAUAGAUAUUUAUAGAUCAAGUCGUAUCUGCCAUACUAAGAAGAUAUAGUUCACAUUCAUCCGAAUCUACAAUCAGAAUUACAACCAAAAUAUUCAAAUUUAUAACAUAAAAAGAAAAAAGCAUUAUAUACAUUCAAAAGUUUGAAAUAAUAAUCAACACUAAGUUCUAACAAAUUUAACUACUAGAACAAGUAAAUUUUUAAUUUAAAUAAAAUGACUUAACUUCAAAUAAAUUUAGGGUUUAAUCAUGUACAUGUUAAUCUUGGAAAUUAGAGUAAAAUUUUUAUCCAUUUUUCGGUGUGCAUGUCUAAAUUCUAUCCUUGUGAUAAAAAAUUAAUUAUAUCAAUAAAAAGAAAAGGAAACAAAGAAGUGUAAAGAAAAGUCGAAUAUUGUAGGGUAUGAGCUAAAGGAAGUCGUAAUUCGUGAUAAAACAUUAAGCAUUUUGGAGAGUCAGACCCCUGAGCUGAAUUAGAUCCAACCUCCUCAUUGUCGAAAAAAGCCACCAUUUUGACACCAGGCUCAUCCUUAAGGCUACUGUCAGGAGAAGUAUUGUCGAUAAUGAGUGUCUGUAUAAAACCAUUCAAAUAAAUGUAUGUUUGACGAGUUAGAAUGAAUGAUAUGAAAUUAAGAAUCUUUUGUGAAGGCAAGCAAAUAUGUGCCAUGUGGUUUAUGGAAACUAAUCUAGCUACCAAGAGAUGACUCAGAGCCUAUUUGAAAUGCUUUUUUUAGUGUUCCAGAACUCUCUUUUUUCUUAAAAACAUUUAUUUAAUGCUUUUGGCAAAAUACAAAAUUGUAGUGCUUAAAGAAGUGGUUUAGCAAAAACCAAACCUUCAAAUAGCAAAAUGUCAUGCAUAAAUUGUCCAACCUCCCACGGAACACAAAUUCUCGCAUAGUACCACCAAUCACACUUGGUUAAGCAUCACAUACUUGCAAGUCAAAAUCAAAUAUGUCCUUUGGAUCGUAGCCAAGUUGCUCCGCAAGUAACUAGAUCAAACCAGGUAAAAUUCAUGAUGUCCAUGAAGCAAACUUUCAGUUGUAUUUUGAAAUCAAUCCACCAAAGUUCAAAUGAGUCCAGGCUAAUAAAUCAAAUUAAAUUGGUCUGGUGUUAUUUAUCUUAUUUGUAAUAGAAGCGAGUGAUGCUUUAUGCUAGUAGGAGGUUUCUAUUGAUCUGUUUUCUUUUUGUCAAUUUGUACGCAUCUUUUUUCUGAAACAACUUUAUUCAGUUCUUCUUGUGAGCAGUCAUUAAUUAGGAUGGAGGGAUAAUCAUAAACAUACACAGGAUGAAAGAGCACAAGGAAUAUUUGUCACAAAAAAAAUCAAAAAACAUAAGCCAUAAAUCCUAUGCACGAUAUGUAUGUUAUCUAUCUCCUACUAUAAAAAAUGUUGUAUAUGUAUUAAUUAUUGAUGAUGGGUGAGUUUUGGUUCGUCCCAUUGGUUAUGCCCUCAACUUGACCAUAAUGCUAACCAUAAUUAAUGAUAAGGUCAAUAUAGCCUCCUACAUUUCUAAAAUGAACUCAACAAGUCAACUAAGUUUCAUUCGGUCAUUUGAAGAAUGGUAGCUAUCGACUUUCCAAAACUGAAGAGUUCCCUAUGCAAGUUCUGAUACUGAAGGAACUAGAAGCAUUCUUACCUACCCGACUUAACCCUCCAACUUUCUAUGAGUAAUUGUUGCUUAGGCCAAAAGUGAAGAGUUCCCUACGCAAGUUCUAAUAGAGAAGGAACUCAACGCAUUCUGACCUAACCGACUUAACUCUCCGACUUUCUAUAAGAUAUUGUUCUUUAGGCCAAAAGUGAAGAGUUCUCUACGCAAUUUCGAAUACGGAAAGAACUCAACACAUUCUGACCUAACCGACUUAACUCUCCUACUUUCUAGACCUAUUGCUGCUUGGGCCAAUGGUGAAGGGUUCCCUACACAAGUUCUGAUACCAAAGGAACUCAACGCAUUAUGACCUAAUCGACUUAACUCUCCUACCUUCUAUAAGCUAUUAUUGCGAAGGCCAAUAGUGAAGAGUUCCCUACACAAGUUAUGAUACUGGAGGAACUCAACUAGUUUAGGUUUGGAAGAUCCCUCAUAUAGUUUAGGUUGUAAGACGCUGGAAGAAGCAUUUUUUUGGUCGAAUUUGUAAAUGGAAAGGCAAUGUACGUAUUUGAACUAUAUGCUCGUAUUGAAAUUUAACUUUGUAACUAUGUUGGUUAAUAUUUGCACGAUGACCUUGCAUGUGAAAAUGUUGUUUGUUCAUCCUUAAAUUACAAAUUGAGUACUAAACUUUGAAUUUAAUAUUUAUAAUUUGAUUUAUAAACAAAUAAAAGCGUUUAAUAGAAACGACAUUUGAACUUUAAUUUUGUAUUUAAUAAAUCAUUGAACUAUAAAUUUUUUGGCUAAUAAAUUCGUGAAAAGUUCAAAAUUUUAAAAAUUAAUUGAUUUAUUAGAUAUAUGUGUAUUGCAUGUGUAAUGUAACAAGUCAUUCACUUGUGUUUUUUAAAAAAAUUGGAGUAUAAGAUCAAAAUUUGUAAUUUUAAAAGUUGAAUAACCAAAUAGACAAACUUCAAAAUUUUAGAAACUAUAUUUAUAAUUUAAUUAUUUCUAAUGAAUAGGAAGAAAACUAUUUAUAAUGUAAUGGCCACCAUUCUUUCACAUUAUUAAUUCACCAUCUUUAUCCUCUCCAAGCUCCACACAUAACAAAACAAAACCUCCAACAAAUAUUCUUCUCUUACUAAAUGGAUCUCAUACACUUAAAACAACCUACAUAUAAAUUAAAACAAAUAACAAAAUAAAGGCCUCUAAUUUCCUAAAAUAAUCAACUAAACUCUUCCUAUUUCAAAGUGAAAAAAAAGCACAAAAAUAAUAACCUUAUAAAUAGACAUACAAGGAUUCUUCUCCUACACAUCAACAAUGGCACCACAUCUACUCGUCUUAUUGAUAUUUCUCUUCCUCAUUGUCUUAUUCGACAUGUCGAUGGCCAGAUUCUCGUUUGCACCACAAAAAUCAUCCAUCAUUCAACUUCACCAUUAUCAAAUCGAAAUUCACAACGACUUGGAAAUGUACUUGUUAGACAGUCAUUGCUUCUCGAAAGAUAACGAUUUAGGGUUGCAUAUACUUUUUCCAGGUGAGCUACAAGAUUGGUCGUUCCAAGAUAACGAUUUUGAAACUACUAAAUUUCGUUGCAUAUUGGAAUGGGAGAACGGAUUAUUGGAAUUUGAUUCUUUUAAAACUAAUCACAAUUUCUUGAAUAAUUUUUGUGGCAAUUUAACUUGUUCUUGGAGUGCAAGACAGGAUGGAGUUUACUUGACCAAUGUAAAGGGUGAAUAUGUUUUUCAAGAUUAUUGGGACAUGCUUAUACAUUGAAAAGCUGGCUACCUUAGUUUCUUUUCCCUUCUUACAAAAGUUGAGGUCAAUAGUUUGGGUUGAUACCAAGGUGUGGUGAAGAUAAAAUAUACAUAACCUUUCACGUGACAUCAAUAGUAAAUUUGAAAAGAGAGGACCUACUACAAAUUUAGUCUUUCUCGAUGCACGCAAAUUUUGAUUGUUUGAUGGUCAUGGCAAAGGGAUAUCAAGAAAAGUAUGUUUCUUAAUACAAUGUUUAUCUUGACGGGUAUGUACGUCAAGAAAAGUCUCCUUAUUUUGUCGAAGAAAUACGAAAAAACGUAAGAAAAAAUGUGGAUUCUUGAUUUCCUUGAUAGGCAAAGUUUUCUCAAUUUUGUUGAUGGUUCACAAAUGUCGAGAAAACUAUUUCUCAAUAGACAAUAAACAUCAAGAAUAAUAUAUUAGUUGUCUAGCAGUAUCUUUCAAGUUAGUUAGGUUUUCUUGAUGGACAGACCCAUCAAGGGAUGAAUUUUCUUAAUUGCAAUGGUCAUCAUCGAAAAAAUUAAUAUAUUUGUUUUCAAUUUUUGAUGGGUUUACAAUUUUCUUGGAUGGACAAAGACAAAAAAAAAAAAUCAUGGACAAGAUCAUCAAGAAAAAUGAUAUCUUGAAGGGCAUUGCCCAUCAAGAAAAAAAACUAGUUUUCACGUAACACGAAAUUUUAACUCUCGUUAACUAGUUCAGAAAACAUGAUAUUCAUCAAUAAUAUUAUGAAAUCUGUACUAUUUUUUUUCAAUUAUUAUUGUCUACUCAUCAAUAAUACAAUAUUACUUUUUUAAAAAUUAAGUAGCGUAGAUAUAAUUAGAAUGAAAUAAGUGACUUUAUCAAAAUUAAAUUAGUUUUUGAGUUCAACUUUAAUGACUUGAAUUGUGAGUUUAUUUUAUGGUUUUUAAAAUUGGUAGAAGUACUAGAAUAAAUCUGGUCUUUAAUGUCGGUUCAAAAUCGACAUCUUUGCUAGAGUUAUUAAAGGCCUUUAAUGUCAUUUUUAAACUGACAUCUUUGAUGGUGUUAUUGAAGGUCUUUAAUGUCGGUUGGCUUUUGACGUCAGUUUUUACAAAUUUAUUUUUAUUAAAUUUUUUGCAUUAUUGUCCACUUUUUUAUUUUACCAAAUAGUUAAAAACUGACAUUAUGGAUCCGCAUACAUAAAUAUUUUUUCUUAAGCCAACAAAUAUUAAAAUUAAUAUUACUUCAUAAACUACAAUAUUUCUCUUUUACAUAUGUAUAUACAAAAUCAAAUCUCAAUAUUGUGUUUAUAUAUAUACAUUGUACACAAUACAUGAAACAAGAUCCCAAUACACAAGACUUAAAUAAGAAAUCAUAAACGCUUUUGCAGUCUUCAACCUUGAACAAUCGCUUGGUUAUUUACACAAUCACUUAACUUUCAACCCGAUAUGACUUCAAUCAUUCUACAAACAAUAUCUAAAUCAAUCAUUUAAUCCUUAGAAUUUUAACAAGACAGCUUUGAAAAAACAUGUGGAAUAAAAACGUUUCUAAACACUAUCAUAUAAUUCAAGUAAAAGAUAAAAACAUUUGAAACUAAAUCGAUUAGUCAAGUAUAUGUAACAGAAGACUGCAAGUACUGGUAAAAUAAUUCAACUGACAUCAUGCCACGUCUCGGAAUGAGCAAGGAGGUGCAUGAGGUAGGGUGUGACACCUAUAAUCAUAAGCCUUUUUUUGGCGAUGAGAGAAAUGAAAGUUUCAUUAACCACAUUGUUAAUGACAACAUUACUUUCAAAACCCUUCAAGGUUUCAAAUUCUUUUGCAUUUUUAGCCCAAAAAUUUGUGUUUUCGUAUAAGUGGCUUGGCUAAGGUCUGCUUUAAAGGAAGUCAUGCGAGAACUAUGGACUUUUGUAAGAUUAUUUUCAGCCUCUAGCUUAUCAAUAAAUUCAAUCUCAUUUUUUAUUCUCCUCGAUAAUGCCCUUUUUCUUUGUUUGCCCCAUUGCUUAAUGGUGAAUGAGAGUUGUUUCAAUCUUCACACAAACAAAAGCAAAUUAAUAACUAAAUUAUGCGACAAUUCCUAAUGUACUUCAGGCAUAACUUUGUCAAUUAUUUCUACUCAUGCUAACAUGCUAAUAGACAUGUUCAAGUAGACCACAAUAGCGUCUCAAUAUUCAUAAAUUGAGUUAUCAUUUAAGCUUAUAAAUCUAUAUGUGAUUCUAUUGUGCGCAUAAUCAAUAAACAUAGUUAAAAGUUUUUAAUCAUACUAAAGAUUUCUUAAACACAAGAUAUGCCACCUUCGUUAGACACCCCCACACUUCUAAUUUAUUUAGAUGCAUAACAUAUUCAAAGUUCAACAAUACUAUUUUGUUGAGGGAAAUAAAUAUUAUGUCAUAAAUUAUUUUCAUCUAGUAAUGAAUUGACUAAUUCGAAUCCAUCACAAUAAUAUUCAUUACUAUAACAUAAUUUUGUUAAACUGUACAAAGUAUUAUAGUAUAUGCUCAUCAAAUAUAUACAUGGAAUAUCAUCCUCAAAUAUAGCAUAGAAAAAAGCUAGCUAAGUUCUUAGACCAUAUGUACAAAUUAAUUUCAUGGAAUACGAACCUAUGUAAAGUUCAUUCAAACUUAACCAUAAAAAGCUCAAUUGUAUUAAUUCAUAUUCGUAAAAUAAUUUACCAAUCAAAAUAUCUUCACGAGAAAAUAUUUAAAGAAUUAUAUAAAUUGUGAGGCGAAAAGUUUCUACCACAAGAUGAAAACUCAAAAUGCCAUGUUAUUCACUAAUUUAUUUGGAUCAUUAAUUUUCUAAUUUAUUAUGCCCAAAUAUUCAUCAGUUAAAUGUGCCACAUAAUGUCAAUUAAUCCGAACUUCAAUCCAGAGAUUUGUUAUGCAUAAUAUUUUUCAAUUAUAUAAUAUGUGGCCAUUUAUACCUUUUAAUUUACUAUUCAAUCCUAAUUUAUUUCUAAAAUUAAUAGUCACGUUCAAAGAUUUUAGUUAAUAUGAAUAAAUUAACUAAAAUUUUUAAUGGAAUAAAUUAUGGUCAAUAAUUUUAGGAAAUUUAUCGUAAAGUUUAGUGUAACUUAGCAAAAUAUUAGGAUACAUCACUCACGUGGAUCCAUUACUGGAACAAGAGAAGGAAAAGGAAAAAAAAUGUGCUCUCUAUUAUCUAAGUAGAACAUUAAUUGGGGUUGAAGUUAACUAUUCUCCCAUGUUGAAGAUGUGCCUCGCACUUUUCUUUGUCAUCGAUAAGUUGAGGCAUUAUAUGCAGGCAUUCACAGUUCAUCUAGUGGUAAAAGCAGACCCUAUAAAGUAUGUUAUGUCUAGGCCAAUCAUCUCUGGACGCUUAGCCAAAUGGGUGAUUCUACUCCAACAAUAUGACAUUUCUAUAUUUCCCAAAAGGCGAUAAAAGGACAAGCGCUAGUAGACUUUUUAGCAGACCACCCAAUUCCUUCGGAUUGGAAGUUAUGUAAGGACCUGCUAGACGAUGAGAUUUUCUUCACGGAAGUUAUUGAACCUUGGAUUAUGUACUUUGAUGGUGCAUCACGAAGAAGUGGUGUAGGGCCAGGCAUCAUCCUCAUUUCUUGAGAAGCAUAUGUUGCCUUAUAGCUUUGUUCUCACUGAACUGUGCUCGAAAAAUGUGGCUAAAUAUCAGACUUUGAUAAUUGACCUUCAAAUGAUAUUGGAAAUCGAAGUAUCAUUCAUAGAAAUUUAUGGUGAUUCAAAGUUCAUAAUCAAUCAACUCUUGCUUUAGUAUGAUGUGAAACAUGAAUACUUGAAGCCAUACUUCGCUUAUGCUCGACAAUUGAUGGAAAGGUUCGAUAGCGUGAUGCUUGAACAUGUCACUAGAGUAGAAAAUAAGAGGACGGACACAUUGGCGAAUUUAGUCAAUGCCUUGAUGAUGCCAGAGGAUGUAACUCUUAACAUAUCACUUUGUCAACAGUGGAUUAUGCCUCCAAUUAUGUCUGAAUGUCAUUGAGCGACCAUGACGACAUCCCGUUUGAUAGAUGAAGAAGAUUGACAUCAACCCAUCAUAGAGUAUCUUGAACAUGGAAAGCUUCCAAAGGAUUCCUGUCAUAAAACUAAGGUACAAAGAAGAGUUACGCACUUUAUUUAUUACAAGGGAACCUUAUAUCGUCGUUCUCUUGAGGGGCUCUUCCUUGAUGCCUUGGAAAGGAAGAGUCGAUAAAAGCUCUAAAGAAAGCACAUGUGGGUGUUUGUGGAACACAUCACUCAUGACCAAAGCUUCAAUUCCAACUAAGAAGAACAGGCUACUACUGGCCUAAGAUGAUCAAAGAUUCAAUAGAAUAUGCAAAGAAGUGUGAAGCUUGUCAAUACUAUGCAAACUUCAUACACCAACCUCCAGAUCCUCUUCAUCCAACUGUAGCUUGUUGGCCGUUCGAGGCUUGGGAACUCGAUAUGGUUGGCUCUAUUACACCAAAAUCAUCAACAGGACAUUCUUAUAUCCUUGCAACAACAGACUAUUUUUUGAGGUAGGUUGAUCCCAUUCUCUUUGAGAUAGACCGAGAAGGAGAAUGUGACAGACUUUAUUUGAACGCACAUCAUCUAUCAAUACAAUAUUUCUUAUUGAAUUGUGACAUAUAAUGAAAGGCAAUUCUCCAAUAGCAUGAUAGACAAAUUAUGUGAAAAAUUCAAGUUCAAGCAAUACAAGUCAUUCGUGUACAACACACAUCUGCGAAUGGGCUAGCAGAAGCAUUCAACAAAACGUUGUGCAAUCUUUUGAAGAAAAUUGUCUUCAAGUCAAAGAGGGAUUGGCAAGAAAGGAUCGAUGAGGCAUUAUAGGCUUAUCAAACUACUCAUCGCACUUCUAGAGGGGUUACACCAUAUUCACUUGUUUACGGUAUGGAAACUGGAAGGGAAAUUCUAUCGCUAGGAAUGACAGUACAGAAGGAUUAACUACUGAAGAUAAUGUCAAGCUACGUCUUCAAGUGUUAGAAGCACCUGAUGAAAAUCGAUUAGAGGCUCAACAAGCAUUGGAAUGUAAUCAAGCGAGAAUGUCCAAAGCUUUUGUUAAGCAUGUUAAACCUCGCUCCUUUCAGAUUGGUGAUCUAAUACUUGUUAUAAGAAGAACAAUCAUCACAACAAGGUAUACAGAAAAUAAGUUCACACCUAAAUGGGAUAAAUGGGAUGGACCCUACAUUAUUAAAGAAGUUUAUACAAAUGGCAAGAUCGUUGAUCAAGAAUGGAUUACGAAUUGACCUAAUCAACGACAAAUUCUUUAAAAAAAUUAUGAUUAAUUUUCAUAAGUAAAAAAAAAAGUUGAACGAAAUCUACGUUAUGACUUGAUCCCUAUAUUAUAAAGGGUACACAGACAGCUUAAGGAAAACCUUAAGUCUAGUCCAACAAAUAAAAGAUAAAAAAGGUGAACUAGGUUAUGACGUGAUCCCUACAUUAUAAAGGUUACGUAGGCAGCUUGAGAAAAACCUUAAGUCUAGUUAAGUAAUUAAAAAUAAAUGACACAUUGCAUUCAAUAUAGGAAAAGUGAGAAGUCGAAGAAUCAAAGAAUGAAUGUUUCAUUAUAAAUUUCUAGCUCGAAAAUUACAAAUAGCAUAAAUAGAUAAAUAAGAAGAGGCAGUGAUUCAUAGGUCCAUUUAAGGUUUUUCAGCUCCUCUAGUGUGCUUUCUAAAUAUUCAAGAAGUGAUCAUAGGAUUUUAGCAUCAACAUCUCCAACGAUUUGGGGCACAUUCGAGUUUGUCAAUUUCCUCGCAAGUCUUUGGAAUCUCAUGCUGCUUUCGCUUAAGCUCCAUGUCGUGCUUGGAAAUUAUGUCAGAAAGUUUGACGGAGUUUGUCCGCACCACCAUUUGUUUUGCUUCUAGUUUAGCCUCCUUGACAGAUAUUCGUGUAAGGUGAUGUUUGACGGUGUUGGUCUCUGUCAAUAUAUGGUUCUCAUCAAGUCGUAGAGUCUUGACAAAACCUUUUGCCUCUAUUAACUGAGUAUCCAUAGUUGAUUGGAGCAAAAAUGAGGAAUGUAUUUGAUUAUGGUUCUCGACACCUUGGCAGUAACCAUCCAUAAACUCCCUCAAAACGAUAUGGUUGUUGCUGCCACUAGUCGCAAUUGCAUCAAAGAUCUUACGCAUUUCUAAUUCAAGACUAAUUACUCAUUCAAAAUGGGUACGAAUGAUCUUCUGUCAUAGGUUUUCGAACAAGAUUGUUGCAGUCUGUCGCUAGAGGUUAGAAAUUAAGCUAUCGGCACAAAAAUGAGAAAUCUCAUAAGAUGCAAUAGGCUUCAUUCCUUCCACUUGCUGAGGAGACCCCUUGAUCACAAGAGGACAAGCUGACCCAAUUGUUGCACCUAUAGGUGUCUUAGAGUUCUCACCAUAAGUAAGUAUAACGUUAUAACCUUCUAGAUUUGUCAUCGGCUUUAAGGUUCCUUCGAUGUGUAGGUCAUGGUCACCUAAAGAUAACUGCAAAAUAAUGUUAAGAACAAGAAAUAAGAGUGGGAGUAAAGUAGAGGAAAUAAAAUAAAUAAAUGAUAAAAAAAAAUGAGACGAAAAGAAACAAUGGGGAAGGAACAUAAAGAAACUAUGUGGCAUUGGUGCCUUUAAUAGGAGGCUUUUCAUCAUCAAUUAACUGUUUGUUGGGCCUCUUGGGUCUCUUCCAAUGACGAUCAUCAUUGUUGCUUUGAAUGUCCUUAGUACGUUCAUAAGGGCGCUUGACAGUUAUUAAUAAGCAAUUAUCCUUACCCACAUUGUCAGUACCACCUCUAAUAGAAAGUUUAAAUCGUGUAGAAGGGGUCGAAUUAUCCACCAAGCACUUUGUACCUUCCUCAAUUUUCUCCUUGGGCCGUUCCUCAAUUCCAUUGGAGCAUAUCUUUUGACUUCUACUACCAAAAUUAUUCUCAAUUGUUUUGGUGGUUGUGGAGGGGAGUGAAAUGAUCUAUCAAAUGUUGCACUCCUUCUUGGAGGUAAUCACCGUGUUUUGCAAGCCAUCAGACUUUACAAUGAGAAGUAAUAUGUGCAUUCGGGUUAAUAACAAGCGCAAGAAGAUAUACUUGGGAAAGUGUGUUCUCGCGAAUGCAAAUCAUCCAAUAAUAUCGUAGUUGGCCAAAUCAGCUUCGUAAACUUUUUUGUCUAAAGUCAUAUGACACGUCUUGAUAAAAUCCAAAUUGUAGCUAAAGUUACAAGGACUAUAAGGUUGAAUAACCAUGGUGGAUCCACAUUGCGAGGAUAGAAAACAACAUUGAAUGCUUAUAAAGAAUGAAGUAUUCCAGUUAAUUAACUUUCCAUCAUCCGUUAAGAGUUCGUCUUUAUUCUUUGCCUGAAGACACGCGUGCCAUGACACAUACCUUUCCUUGUUAAUAUGUGUUCGAGCCUCAAGAUUAGUAUAAUAUUUGACCCCACCUUCAUCAAUUGAGAAGCAAUGUGAUAGUAGGCUGCAAAUAAAUGCUCGCAACUUUUUGGACAUGUGUUAGGGGUGAUCCUAAUAAGUCUUGAUGGCAAGGAAUGCUUCCUUUACAAAAUCUACCUUUAAUAGGGAGUCCUCCUAACAUCCAUAAGACCCAUAAGGAGAUGGACAUCUCACCAGCUGAGGUGUGAAGGGUGUUUGUUGAAGGACACCAUGCCUCACAGAAAGCCCGAACAAUGUCAUUAUUACGAUCAUAUAUGUACAGUGAGGCCAUCACAACAUUUAAUAUGUUAGCUCUCUUAAGUUCCACCAUAUUUUUAGCAACGACAAGCUCUAACCAUCCCCAAUAAUAAGAAAGAUAGUAAAAUUCUUCAUGGACUUUGAGCACAUUGCCCACACGAAUUUUUGGGUUACUUAUAAUUCGAUGACUCAACGUCAAUUUUGGAUUCUCAUUUGGAGGCUUAUUGUGGACUGAAGAUUUGAGAAGCCAAAAUGUUAAAGAUGAAUUUGGGUUUACGGACUGUUCCUUAGACCAUUUAGGCAAAAAAAAAAAAAAAAUUGUCCUUGGGUAUUUAGGAGUCCGUGAUAUUCUUGAAUACCCCUUCUCUCACAGAGAGAAUGACCCUUAGAAUAAUUAAACACAUUUUGGUCGAAUCAGAAUACUCAGUGAAAUGCAUCAUGGUGAAAAGCAUAAUUCCUCCAUAAAAAAAAUAAUUCUUUUUACGAGUAAAAAAAAAAAAGAAAGUAAGAAAAUAAGUAAAUAAAUUAAUAAAAGAAAGCAAAAGAAAAAAUGAGAAAGAAAAGAAAAAGAAAAAGAAGAAAAAAAGAAAAAAAGAAGAAAAAAGAAAGAAAACAAAACAAAAAAACGAAAAAGAAAAUUGAAAAGAAAAAAGAAAAGAAAAGAAAAGAAAAGAAAUGAAUAUAUAUAUAUAUAUAUAUAAACACACAGAUUUAAAAAACGAAAACAAAAAAAGAAAAAAGAAAAAAGAGAGAAAGAAGUCAGAUCGCUGACGAUAGAGCAAACCUAGCUAGAAGCCUGAUUGCUCCUACUAAGGAGGUAGAUUUGACGGCAAAAGUCCGAUCUUCUCCUAGAAGAAGUCAUAUCGAUGACGGCGAACCAAGAAGCCUAAUCACUCAUACUGGGCAUGUGGAUUUGACGACAAAAGAUCGAUCGUUCUAUAGAAGAAGUCAGAUCGAUGACAACGAAGCAGAACCGAGAAGCCAGAUCACUCUUACUAGGGUGGUGGAUUUGACGGCAAAGCUCGAUCGUCCCCUAGAAAAAGUUGGAUCGAUGACAACGAAGCAGAACCGAGAAGCCAAAUCACUCUUACAAGGGAGGUGGAUUUAACCGCAAAAGCUUGAUUGUUCCCUAGAAAAAGUCGAAUCGAUAACGGUAAAGCAAAAUAGAGAAGCUCAAUUGUUCCUACUGAGGUGGAUCUGAUGGCAAAAGCCCGAUCGUCCCCUAGAAGAAGUCGAAUCGAUGAUGGCGAAGCAAAUUGAGAUGUCUGAUCGUUCUUACUAGGGAGGUGGAUUUGACGACAAAUGUCCGAUCGUCCCCUAGUAAAAGUUGGAUCGCUGACGAUAAAGUCACCCCUGCAAACGAUUGCACACAAAAAAAAAGAGAAGAAGAAGAAGAAAAAAAAGAAGUUCUUACCUCUAACUUCUAAAAACAAAAAGGAAGAGAAGAAAAAAAAACAACGAAAAAAUAGGAGACAAAAAGAGUAGAAGAGGAAGGGAGAAUAGAAAUUUUUCAUACCUUCUUGCCGGAUGAGGAAUAAAUAAUUAAGAAGUGGUCUAUUUAUAAGGCCAACAAAUCCAAUUUCUGUAAAUUCAAUUCCUAAAAGGAUCAGGAAUGAUAUUUAAUCAUUUUUUAUAGCAAAUCUAAUUACUAAAAGGGUUAAGAAUGAUAUUUUAAUUAUAUUCAAUAUUUAAAAUAGAAAAGAUAAUCUAUUUAUCUUAUCUUAUUUUAAAUUAUUUCAUUUUGGGAUAAAUCUCGAAUUUAAUUUUUUAGAUAACUAAAUAUUUAAAUAUUUCAACAUUUAAAAAAAAAAACAGAUCUUAUUCCCAUUUUAAAAAUGAAACUUUGGGUUCAAAAUCCAAGUCAAUUUAACUUGCACAUAUACCCUUCUUUUUAUCUCAAAUUUAAAUCGAAGCCAUAAAUCCAACUUUAUCUCCAAUUAAAAUUGGUCACUCCAAAUUCUUGUGCAACCUCAAGACAAAUUAAGAUAUGGUAGAAAUCUCAUCCUUAUUUCAAAUUAAAAUUUUGGUUACGUUCCAAAAGAAAAUUGAAUGCAUCUUCCAGAUGGUAUUGUAUCAUGUACCUUGCAAAGGAUGGAGGAAGCAGAUUGCAAAAGAUGUUGCACCACACAUUCCUUACUUCCCAAAACCUGAAGUAGAUCUCAAAGAAAUGUUAUGAAAUUUUCCAAUAAAUCUGUAUGUCGUUGAAUACUUUCGAGAAUGCAGCUGAUAGAUACCUACAUUUAGAUAGGGCCAACGAUAGUUAGUUAAGGCAGUUAGAUGGUUAUUAUUGAAAUGAGAGACAACGAGUUCACACCAAUUUAUGUGGAAACCCGAGUACCAGGAGAAAAACCACGAUUAUUUGUUGUUAUUAUUUUCUAAUCAAUAAAACAAUAGAUACAAGGGAGAAUAAAUAAAGUAUACAAUGGAAUAAAAAAAGGAAAAGAAUUAGGAAAAUAAGGAAAACAUUCCCAUAAUCUUUCUAUAAUUAUUCUAGGAUUCCAACAAGGAAAAUGCCUAGAAAAAAGAAAAGAAUUUCAACCCUCCCCCCCCCCCCUCAAGUUGGGACGUAAAUAUCAAUGUGGCUCAACUUGCUAACACAAAAGUCAAAGUUUGGUCUGAGAAGCCCUUGGGUAAGAGCAUCAACAACCUGUUGACUCGAAGAGAUGUAUGGAAUGCAUAUGCUCCCACUGUCAAGUUUUUCUUUGAUGAAAUGUCGAUCAAUCUCAACAUGUUUAGUUCUAUCAUGUUGAACAGAGUUGU